AAUUCCUUUAAUUUGGAGAGGCGUUGAAUGGCUGUUGAACUUGGCAUAUACUUGAGAUUCUGGCAAUUCUCAAUCCAAAGAGAUUGAAGAGAAGAAAGGUUGGCCAUCCAUUGAAAUCCAUUAUCCCCAAUUCCUCGAGGGCAGUGAGGUGUUGAAGUUGGUGUGGUAACUUCAGUUUAUCCCAUCCAUGUAUGUAUAGGGAUUUGAGGGACCCACUCAAGUUGAGGUGUUGGAAUGAGUUUAAAACUCCUACAGGAAAAGCCUUCAUCUCCUCUGAGAAACCACCGAUUCUCAAUUCCUGCAGUUGGGUGAGGCCACCCAACCAAUCAUCCUCUGGGAUAUCACUCAAACUGGGACACGCGGUGAUUUCUAAUUCAACAAGAGAUCGCAAUUGUCGUAAACCAUGCCAAUCAAUACUGAUGAGCUUAUCACAACCUUUAAUCAAUAAUCUUCGAAGCGAAGACAAUUCUUGAAAAUCAUUGCAAUGGAUAAGCUCACUCCAAUUAAUUAUCUCUAAUACCUCUAGAGAUGCGCAACAUUGUAGUCCGCUUGGAAGAGCUCCCAAUUUACACCUAUUAACAAUCAAUUUCUUCAAAGAAUUCAAAUCUCGGAAAUCACCAGGAAUUGAGAUCAACUCACCGCACAAAUAUAUAAUCAAUUCCACCAGAGCUGUGCAGUGUUGUACGCUUGGAAUGGAUGCCAGCUUUGGACACCUCCAUAUACUUAAAACUCGAAGAGACGUGAAGCCAUGAAAUUCACCAGACAAAUAUCUCAGUUCAUCACAUUGCUCAAUUUUAAAUACUACAAGAGAUGAAAGACGACAUAUCGGAAUGCUUUCCAACUUUCCACAACACUCAAUGCUCAACUUUUCAAGACUAGGAAAUACUGCAACAACUUCUCCACCUGGUACCAUCCAUUCUUCAAGACCAUCCAUCCUGGAUAGAGUGAGUAUUUGUAGUGCUGGAAACAGUACACCUGCGCUGUCUCUGCUACUAGAGAACUCAUUGCCUAUACAUUUCACAUUAGGCAUUCCACUCAUCUCUAGAAUCCUAAGGCGUGGAAGACAUCCAAGUGUUGGGAGUUGCCUCAACUUGCUGCAGCCUUUCAAUCUCAGCACCGUCAGAUUAUUGAGUUGCAAUAUCCAUGAUGAGAAAUUUUCACCUCCAUAACCCUCAAUUGUCAAGCUUCUUAUGUCUGGGUGAGGCUGCAGGCCUUCCAGCACAUCCUCGCUAUUGACACUGCUGUUACCUUCAUCAUCACUCCAUUCAAACACCAAUUUGUUCAUUCUUUUUCCACUCAGUUCUGCCUUCUCAGCUUCUUCUCUGUCUCUCACUUGCUCAAGCUUGCAUAUCUUCAAUGCUCCUCUUAGUUCUUUCAAACAUCCCAGCUCUUCAACCAUAUGAUCUGGACCCACAGCAAAUAUCGGCAGAGUUUGAAGGCGUGUUAAGAGUCUCACCUCAGCUGGCACUAGCUUUGGAUCAUCAAAAUGAAGAUGUCUCAAGCUCACUAAAUUCCUCACUUUCUGGGGAAGCUUUUCUAGACUCGCAAUCAGUGAAUCUUAAUGUUUCCAAAUGGUAGAGCUUGGUGAUGGAUUCCGGCAAUGCUCUGAUAGCAGUAUCCGAGACAUCAAGAUAUCUCAAAUGUCUCAGCUUGCAAAUUGAAUCUGGUAACUCUGUGAUAUCAGACCUGCAAUUUGAGAGUUCUCAAGCUUUUGAAUUUCCAAGCCCGUUGAAUACAUCAACCAUUGAGAAAACAGUUCGCAAUUUUCUAGCAUCAACCGCUGUUAAUGCUGCCUCGUCAUCCCCACGAGAUACGAGAUUUAGAUGACGAAUAUGAGAUGCACCAUCAACAGCCGAACCCUCUUCCAGAUUUAACGCUUCUGAUUUUGAGACCUGUAAUGCAAGAUCAUGCACUAGAUCAUGCAUCUUGCAACUUGUUACGAUCUCACACUCGUUCCUUUUAACAUCUUGGAAAAAGGAAUUUGCAAGCAAGUCAUUGAAACACUUGCUGCCUUCGUCUUCCAUCCUCCCAUUUGAUGGCCUGAGAAAACCUUCAGCCAUCCAAAGUUGAACCAGCUUUUCCCUUUCAAUUUCAAAAUCUUUAGGGAAAAUGGAACAGUAUGCAAAACAUUUUUUCAGUGUUGGCGAUGACAGGUAAUCAAAACUUAAUGUCAAUACGCGCAAAGCAUUAUCUCCAUCCGGAGAAUCCCAAAUUCUACUGUUUAGAAUCCCAAAGCAUUUUUUCCAAGGCCAGCCAUCCCCACUAUAGGGACAACCGGAAGGACAUGUCGGUGUUUGGUCAAGCUAGUCAGCAAUUCCAUAACUUUAGAGACAUCAUCCUCCCUUCCUACAACCUCUGAGCUGUCAAGGAUCGAAUGUGUCACUCGAUCUGGGUCCCAGCUAACUUCUUGAGCUCUAUGUACAGGUAGAGAUGUCAAUCCAAGCCCAAAUCCGGCUGCAUCUUUCCGGAUUUCAUCCAGGGCUUCAUUGAUCUUCUUAACUUUUUGACCCAUAAUCAAACGGAAUGCAACAGGAUUGUGGAGUGAAAACCAAUCACGUACCUUUCCCUUCUUUUGGUCUUUUCGGAGAAUCUCAUAAGCAAACUCGUCCAGAACAUCUUCAGCAUCGUAAGCUACAUCCUGUAGGUUCUGCAGCCAACGCUUCCAGACUCGUCUGUUACUGCCCUUCUGGCUGCGUCUUGGAGCACACCUUUGAUCUUGGUCAAGGACUGGUUGAGCUUUCGCAGCUGGCCCUCCAAUCCCAAGCAAGUCCGAUCCCUUCAGCAGCAAUGGAACUCACCCUUUUCAAAGUCUCCUCCAAGGCAAACGUAAGAGAAGCUCUGCUGCCAUUAUUCUCCGUCUCUGUGUUUUUUUUUUUUUUUUUUUUUUGGGGGGGGAAUCAAAGAAGAAAUUUUGAGCACAAGAGAGAGAGAAGCAUGGUGUGAAAUAUUAAAAGAUGAAACGGAGCAUAGUUGCAUGAGGGUCCCUUCCUCCCUAAUUGAUUGAUGGCUGUUGGCAGCAUCUUCCACGAACCACUACUGUCAUGUUGUUAUGGCAUGGCUAAGAAAAUUCCACGUACGCCUUUGUCGGCAUGGUGUUUGGUAUCACUUUUAAACGAUACCAAAUACCAUGCCGACAGGAGGAAACGAUUCCAAUCUAUUGAUCAUGAACAUGAGAAACUGAUGAUGUAUUUAUUUUUGAGAUAAUUUUUGUGUUUAUAAUUUCUAAAAAUUAAGUUUUAAAAAAGUAUAGUUGGAUGAGGUUAUUUGGAAUUAAAUAUAUAUUUGGUAAAAAUUAUGGUUGAGGUUUAUAUACAGUAAAAAAACAUGUAUAAAAUGUUUGGUUGUUAUUACUUUUCAAAAGUAUUUUUUACUUUGAAAUGUAUUAAAAUAUAUAUUUUUUAUUUUUAAAAAAUUAUGAUUGAGGUUUAUACGCAGUAAAAAAACAUGUAUAAAAUGUUUGGUUCUUAUUACUUUUUAAAAAUGUUUUUUACUUUGAAAUGUAUUAAAAUAUAUAUUUUUUAUUUUUUAAAAAUUAUUUUUGAUAUCAGCAUAUUAAAAUGAUCUGAAAUAUAUAUAUAAAAAUUUGAAGUAAGGAAAAAAUAAUUUUUUUUCAAUUUUGAAAAAAAAUGCUUUUGAAAUGCAAAAAUAAAAAGAAUUUUAUGAAACUCAGUUUAAAAAACAAGUAUAAACUGCUUUACAAAAAUCACGUUUUAAAUUCAAUUUUUUAGUAGGUCUUACAGAAUAAAACACAAUUUAAUAUAUUAUCAACUAUCUAACUUUAAUUUUUACACCGUAAACACAUAAACUAAGAAUAAACAAACACAUCCUGAGCUGAAUACUUCCGUUAUCAACAAGAGAAUAUGACUUCUUGUAGUGGUAGAACACCUCCUUCGUAGGAAGUCCCCAUUCCUACAUUAAACAAAAAGUGAUAUUUGAUUAGAAUUAACCUAAAACAAACUAACCUAUUUUUUUAGCGACUAGAGGUCACCAAAAUCUGGGCAGUUAAGGCGAUGUGUCGUUUGCUUGAGUAAGACAGGUGAUGUGUCGCCUCUAUUUUUUUUCAAAUCAUUAAGAGGGAGACGGGUAGUCAUUCUUCUCUUUUAUAUAUAUAUAUAUAUAUAUAUAUAUAUAUAUAUAUAUAAGGCUUAAUUAGGUGCAUGGGCUGCUCCAGGCUCGCGCACCUAUACCUUUUUGUAGAGGUUUAAAAGCUCUAGGCUUUCUUAGCAUGAGAGAAUGAGCUUCUUUUUUCAAUUUCAUCACCUAAAUAUUUGGUUGAUUAUUAAUUGGGUAACAUAAUUUACUUCAGUUUGAUUUUUUUUCCAAUCGCUUUGGUAUUUUGCAGGUUCUUAAUUUUAUAAAUGUAUAUUUUAGAUCAAAUAUUAUAAAAAGAUUGUUGAACCCUGUUAAGUUUGUGAUCUAGGUCAUGAGUUUGGUUGGUUUACUUUGACUGGGUAGGAAUUGAACUAGAUAAAACUUUUUUUUCCGCAUAAAUAGUUCUCAAUUUUUUUUUAAUUAUAUACAUGCAUGAACUUUUUAAAUUUUGCUUGACAUUUCUUUAUGUACAAAAACAUGUUGUAAAAAGUUUGCGCAUAUAUAUAUAUAUAUAUAUAUAUAUAUAUAUAUAUAUAUAUAUAUAUUUGAUCAUUGGUGAAACGCGGGUAAAAUAGCUAAUACUACUAUUACUAAUUCCAGCCUGACCUAGGAGUGAGACAACUAGCCCCCCAACAUCUACAUGCAGAGUGUGUUUAUUUAUGCGGUUAGACCGUGAUUUUGAAGGCUUUUUUAGUUUUAAAUUAAUAAUUUUUAGUAUUUUUUAUUGUUUUGAUGUGUUUAUAUAAAAAAAAUUUAAAAAUAUUUUAAUACAUUUCAAAAUAAGUUUUUUAAAAUAAUCUAAUAAUAUUUUACAAACAAGACUCGUAAUAGGUUAUGCCACUACAUGUGCACCAUUAUUUCCAUUUCUUGUGUGUCACAAUAUAUUUAUAUUUAUAUUUACAGUACAACUAUGAAUGAGAUGGUCAAAGGUUGAAGGGAAAAUAUUAAAUCAAUUGAUCUUAUUAUAAAACUAUAACAUAGGAUCAGGACACCGAAGAAGAAAGGAAGAAAAGUUGUCUCUGUGAGUGACAAUGAUACGAUGCUUCUUUUCAUGUGGAAUUUUUGGUCUAAGACUUUUUGUGCAUGUAAAAUUGUGAGGGGAUGCACCUUAAAAAGGUAGGGUGUCAUUAGCCCAUGAUUCUAUUCAUUGGGAUUUAUUACAUUGAUGCCAAUUCUUUUAAUAUCAAUUAACAAAAGCUCGAGCUUGAGUAAAAUUAAAAAAAAAUAAGUUUUUAUUUUAUAUAUAUAUAUAUAUAUAUUGAUUGUUUUAAUAUAUUAAUAUCAAAAAUAAUUUUUAAAAAAUAAAAAAAAUAUUAUUUUAAUGCAUUUCCGAGUAAAAAUCAUUUUAAAAAAGCAACCGUUACAAUAUUUUUAAACACCCUUUAUAGGGAAAGAGAAUGGAUGUUGUAUUUAAAUAUAAUAAAAUAAAUUUUAUAUUUAUAUCUCUAUUUUUUCAACCAAAUACGUUUCUAUCCCUUCUUGUUGCAUUUUUAAGAUUAGUAUAUAUCUAUGAGUCUUCCUAUCAUGAGCUAAAUGCAAUAUUCCUAUAUUGCUUUAAAGCUAAUAUUGGACCAACAUUAUUGUGUUAUAAUUUUGAGUUUGAAUCUUUCCUUUAUGAAUCCAAUGCCAAAAAAGAAAAAGAAGAAGAAAAGUAAAGCACACGAGAAUGAGGAAGUUGGCAAAGUAAUUGGAGUUUAAUAGUGUGAAUGCGAUUGUUUUUCAAAUAAUAUUUUUGUAUUAAAAUAUAUGUCAAUGAUAUUUUUUUAUUUUUAAAAAUUAUUUUUGAUAUCAGUCCAUCAAAAUGAUUUGAAAACACUAAAAAAAUAUUAAUUUAAAAUAAAUAAAAAAAAUUAUUUUUUUUCUAAAACAUUUUUAAAAUGUAAAAACAAAUACUAAAACAUUCAUCGAGGCUUUAGCUUUCUGGAUGCUAUGUGUCAAUGUGACACUCUUUCAAGCUCCAAGCUGACAAUUUCCCACAUAAAAAUAAGUUCAAAAUUGUAAUGCCAAAUAAUGUUCGUUCAUGGGCAAUUAGGCCUUUCGUUUUCCUCUAUGAAUCAAGCCCCAGGUGACAAUUGCAUAUCUCUUUUUCAUCCAUGACAAAAAUGAAUUGAAGUAAUGUUUUAUUUAUAUAGAGCAGGCGGACUUAUUAUUGUUAAUUAUUUGUUGUUCUUAUUGUAUAUGAGAUAAAUGGGGGUGUUUGAAAGUGUGAUUCUAAUUGUUUUUUAAAGUGUUUUUUGCUUGAGUGAGAUAGGUGAUGUGUCGCCUUUAUAUUUUUUUUCAAAUCAUUAAAACGCAGACGGCUAGUCAUCAUCCUUUUAAGAAAACUUGAAAAAAAAAAAAAAAAGUUUAGGUGCGGGAGCUGCUCCAGGCUCACGCGCAUAUGCCUUUUUAUAGAGGUUUAGGAGCUCUAGGCUUUCUUAGCAUGAGAGAUUGAACCUUUUUUUAAAAAAAAAAUCCAUUACAACUGGAUUUGUCUUUUUUUUUUUCUUGCUUAUAUUUUGUUCAAUUUCAUCACCUAAUAUUUGGUUGGUUAUUAAUUGGGUAAUAUAAUUUAUUUCAGUUUGAUUUUUUUUCCAAUCGCAGAUCAAAUAUUAUAAAAAGAUUGUUGAACCCUGAUAAGUUUGUGACCUAGGUCAUGAGUUUGGUUGGUUUACUUUGACUGGAUAGGAAUUGAACUUGAUAAUUUAUUUUUUUUGCAUAAAUAGUUCUCAAUUUUUUUAAUUAUAUGCAUGCAUGAAUUUUUUAAAUUUCUCUUGAGAUUUCUUUAUGUACAAAAACAUGCCGUAAAAAGUUUGCAUAUAUAUUUAAAAAAAAUAAAAAACAAUUGACCAGUGAUGAAGCACGGAUCAAAUAACUAGUACUACUACUACUAAUUCCAGCCUCACCUAGGAGUGAGACAACCAACUCUCUGACAUCUACAUGCAGAGUGUAUUUGUUUAUACGGUUAGAUCGUGGUUUUGAAAGUUUUUUUUAGUUUUUUAAGUUUUAAAUUAAUAUUUUUUAGUAUUUUUUUUAUUGUUUUGAUGUGCUUAUAUUAAAAAUCUUAAAAAAUAUUAUUUUAAUACAUUUCAAAACAAUUUUUUUUUAAAAAAAUAAUCUAAUAAUAUUUUACAAACAAGACUCGUAGUAGGUUAUACCAUGUUGCAACUAUGCCACUACAUGUGCAACAUUAUUUCCAUUUCUUCUGUGUCACAAUAUAUUUAUAUUUCCAGUGCAACUAUGAAUGAGAUGGUCCAAGGUGGAAGGGAAAAUAUUAAAUCAAUUGAUCAUAUUAUAAAACUAUAACAUAGGAUCAGGACAACGAAGAAGAAAGAAAGAAAAGUUGUCUAUGUGAGUGACAAUGUUACGAUGCUUCUUUUCGUGUGGAAUUUUUGGUCCAAGACUUUUUGCGCAUGCAAAAUUGUGAGGGGAUGCACCUUAAAAAGGGUGUCAUUUGCGCAUGAUUCUAUUCAUUGGGAUUUAUUACAUUGAUGCCCAUUCUUUUAAUAUCAAUUAACAAAAGCUGCUUGAGUAAAAUUAUUAAAAAUUAUUUUUUAUAAUUUUUUGAUUGUUUUAAUGUAUUAAUAUCAAAAAUAAUUUUUUAAAAAUUAAAAAAAUAUUAUUUUAAUACAUUUCCGAAUAAAAAUCAUUUUAAAAAAUAACCACUAUAAUAUUUUUAAACACGAUUUAGAGUGAAAGAGAACAAAUAUCAAAUUUAAAUGUAAUAUAAAGAAAUUUUAUAUUUUUGUCUCUGUUUUUUCAACCAAAUACGUUUCUAUCCCUUUGUGUUGCACUUGUAAGAGUAGUACCUAUGAGUCUUCCUAUUAUGAGCUAAAUGCAAUAUUUGUUUCUAUAUUUUAAAAUUAUUUUUGAAAAAAUUUAAAUUUUUUCAUUAAUUUUAAAUUAAUAUACUUUUAGUAUUUUCAAACCAUUUUGAUGUGUUGAUAUCAAAAAUAAUUUAAAAAAAAAUAAAAAAAAUCAUUGACAUGUAUUUUGACAUGAAAAAUUAUUUAAAAAAUAAUCAUAAUCACACUGCCAAACAAGCUCGUAAAGCUAAUCUUGGGCCAAGAUUAUUGUGCUAUAAUUUCGAGUUUGAAUCUUUCCUUUAUGAAUCCAAUGCCAAAAAAGAAAAUGAAGAAGAAAAGUUUAACACACGAGAACGAGGAAGGUGGCAAAGUAAUUGGAGCUUUGUCCCUUUACAUGGUGACCUUACCUUUCUGGAUGCUGUGUCAAUGUGACACUCUUUCAAGAACAACAUUAUUAAAUUCACAUCCUACCGACUAUUAUGGCUGUCAUAGAAUCAAGGUUGUUAAUUUCAUUUCGUUUCAUCUGGAAUGGCUAAAACAUUUUAUAUUAAUUCAAAAAAUAAAACAAAACAGAAUAAUUUUCAUCUCAUUUUAAAUCUUAGUCCAUUUUGAAUUUUUCGGCUAAAUUUCGUUUGUAAUGUUCCGGUUUCAUUCCAUAUGUUCCAUUUCGGUCUUAAAAAGCCAUUAAAUCAAAUUGAACCUGAUUCAAUUUAAUUAAUUAAAUCACUUAAUUAUAAAAAGCUUAUUUUCAUUACUAUUUUCAAUAAUAAUGAUAUUAAAAAUUAUUAUUACUAUUUUAAUUAACAAUGAUAUUAAUUUUUUAAAUUAGAUUUAUCACUAAUAUAUAUUGUUUAUAUUCAUGUUAUUUUUUUCAAGAUUAUACUUUGAGAAUUUGAGCAAAAUAAUAAAUGCUUUAGAUAUCAUUAGCCUUAAUAAUAUUAACCUGACUUUAUAUUUAAAAUGUUUGUGUUAAAACAUUUUAAUUUUAUAAUAUUUUGAUAUUUUGUUUAAGUUGAAUUAUUUUAAGUUAAAAAUCUAUUUAAUCUUAACUAUUUAGAAAUAUUUUAAAUUAUAUUUGUUUGAUAUUAUUUUUGUAUUGCAUAAUUUAUAAUUAAUUUAUCUUGAAUUUGAAUUAUGUUUGUUAUAUAUAUAUAUAUAUAUAUAUAUAUAUAUAUAUGAACAGUACAAUCUCGAAAUGGCACACCAAAAUACUUCAAAAUUAAAAUAUUCAAUUCUAAUUAAAAUAACAAAACACCUACUAAUACAGAAUUUACAACCUUGUAUAGAAUAGCAAUGGCCAUCAUGCCAUAAAAGCCUGAUUUGGAGCCAAUUCCUCUCUCUUGCCACUACUUUAAAAACCUUAAAACCACGGCAUGAUAAAAGGAGAAAGAAAGGAAUAGGACAACGGAAGAAAGUGAAUUUGACAAAGGAAGAAAGUAAGGUCACGUACUGUAGAAAAUAGGAGAUGAAAAUUAGUAUGAAAAAGAGGAUGAUAGAGUGGUUGUCCAAAUCAUAGUGGUUUUUAUAAUUAUAUUUAAUUUAUACAAAUAUUAAAUUAAUAUAUUUUUAGUAUUUUAUACGAUUUAAAAAAGUUUUUUUGUUGAUUUAAAAAAUCUAUGAGUAUAAAAAAUUAUUUUAAUAUAUUUUUAAAUAGAAAAUAUUUUUAAAAGUAUGCAUCACAGUACCAAAUUAUAGUAUAAAUUAAAAGAAAAUAGGGUUUUAUGUUCAUUACCACUCACUUAGACUCAUUUAAUUGUGGACAAUAAUAGUGUCUCAUUUGAAAACUUUCAAUUUUAUACUUGAAAUUUUUUUCAUAAUUAAUCAUUUUUAAUUAAAAUUAGAGUCCAAUUGCAUAUUAUUUUUAUGGAGGAGAGUUGAAUUAAAAGACAAGGAAUUGAAGUAAAAAACUCAGCUAAAAUAGAUGGCAGCUAUACCAUUUAUUUACAAAAUUUAUUUUAGUUUAUCAUCCUUUUUAAGUUAUUAAAUAAUAAGUCCUAAUAAUUUUUAUAUAUUUUUUUGAAAAUAAUUUUAAAAAUAAUGUUAUCAUUAAUACCCCUUUUCUAUGAUUUGUUUUUUGGUCUUAUGUAGUCUUUCUUCAAUUAUUUUUAAUUUUGUUGCUUUUGUUUAAUUUCUUAAGAGGUUAGUAAUAUUUAUCUAUAAAUAUUUUUUAUAUAUUUCAGAUAGAUUAAGUAUUUAAUUUUUAUAAUAAUUUGAAUAUGUGUAGCCUUGCAUAGUUAUUUUUUUUCCUUUUAUGAUAUUAAAAAAAAAAUUAUGUGUGUUGAUUUCUAUUAUAGAUUGAUUUUAGUAAAUAAAUUCAUUAAAUAUAACCAGAUAAAUGAUCCAUGUUGCAAUAUUAAAUACUUUAUUUAUAUUUGUUUCUUAAUUUUUCCACUUGCAUUUUUAAUUAUUGGUAAUGACUUUAUUUUUUUCAUUUAAUUUACACAAUUGUUUGUGAUUUAUUUAAUUUGAUGCAUGUAUAAGUUUUUUAAUUUAUAUUUAGAAUUUUUUUAAUGUAAAAAAACACAUUGAGAAAUUCUUAUUCUUAUGAUUUUAGUUUGAUCCUUAUUCUUAUGAUUUUUUAUUUUCUUUCUAACCCUUUUAUAAAACAAAAAAUUGUUUAUAAUUUCAUCCUUCAUUUCAACAUAAUGAUAUAUUUUUUUCAUUAUAUAUAUUCUUGUUUGUUAUCAUUGCUUGUUUUCCUUAUAUAAUUCAUAUAAAACCAGCUUAUUUAAUCGGUCAAGACUAAAUAAUAAUAAUAAAAAAGAUAUACUCUGUCUUCCCAUUUCCUCUCCCUGGUGAAUUUUGGCGACCACCCACACAAUGAUAGCCUAAACAACCACCAGCCAUGCCACGUUUCAAGAUCCCAUCUCUCAAUCUCAAAACCAGAAACAACCCUUUCUCAUAACUCCAGGAAAGUGAAGAACUAAACCAUAGUGGCAAAAAUCUAAAAGGGUCUAAAUUAUCUCUGUUACUUUCCCUCAAUUUUCUAGACAAGCAAAAGGAGCUAAAUUUAUUCCCGACCAAAACGCCAAGAAUUUCAGUAGAGCAAAAGAAGAGAUUGUUACUUGACCAUAGACAAUUAGUCCGCACCCAAAGAAACUGAGUGAAUGAGAGAAAAAGACUAUUAGCUAGAAAACAAUCAACACAUCCAAGAAUUUUCUGUAUGGUUUCCAAGAAAAUGAAACGAAACAAGAAAAGCUAGAUCGUUCAUUCCUAUCAGAAAUUAAGGAUUAAUUGUAGCAGAUCUUAUAAAAGUAGAUUCCAUUGUCAAUUCCUCAGCAUUUUCCAAACAAAUCCAUGCUCCUCAUUUUUUACUGUCUUGAGGGUUUCUAUUCUCUUAUUACCAAUUUCAGUGAGUUUCAUAAUAAGCUGCUUAGAAAGAAGCAAUCUAACAGGAGGGUGGGGCUACUCUUGGCCAAUGAAAACAGCUUCACAUGCUAUACAGCAACGUGAAAAAAAGAUUCUCAGCCUGUUCUCUCUUUAAUGAACACCCUCUUGGAUUCUCUAGCACUAGCCAACAAGGUAUCUACUUGGAAUUACUUCCACCAAUCUCUGAAAAGAAUAUACAACCUAUUUAUUAUACUUAACUAAGAGUCUAUUUCAUAACCCUAUAUAUUUUUUAACUGAACUAGUUAUUUUUCUCAAAAACCCACCAAGUUAAUGGUUUUUCAUAAAUCUAAUUCAUAAUAAAACAAAUAAUGAGACUUGAUAAUAAUUCACUAAAUAAACAUCAAUUAUUCAUCAAAAUAAUCUGAGAAAUCUAAUAUUAAAGUUAGGGACCAAUAUGGAAUUUUAUCAUAUUUUUAGGGGUCAAAUUAUAAUUUUAUCAAAUUGGAGGACCAAACUAAAAAUAUCAUAAAUUCAUGACUAUACUGGAAUUCUGCCCAUAAUUCAUCCUAAAUUCUGCCCAGAAUCUCAAAUUAUGCUCCAAGGACCACUAUAGAAUUUUAUCAAAAUUCUAGGGUCAAAUUGUAAUUUCAUCAAAUUGGAGGACCAAAGUGAAAAUAUCAUAAAUUCAUAACUAUACUGGAAUUCCUCCCAUAAUUUAACUUUAAUUUUGUCCAGAAUCUCGGAUUAUGCUCCAGGGACCAAACUCUAAUUUUUCUAAAGUUCAGGGACUAAACUGUAGUUUUCACAAAUUGAGGGACCAAGCUGAAAUUUCAUAAUCUUUAACCUCAAACCCAGAAUUUACACAGAUAACCUACUGAUAUAUCAAGAUUUCUAACUUAAAUUCACCAUUUGAAUAAAUCAUAACUCAAAAUCAUCAUUUUUACCUAAAAUCUUUUAAAAUCAACUAAAUAACUCAUUACCCGUUACAAUCGACUUUCUGUAAUGUAAUUGUAAUUCCUAGCAUAAUGCAUAUUCGAGGGCAAGCACAACAACUCAAGAGCAAAGAAACUCGAUGAAAUAGGAAAAGAAAAAGAAUUGAAGGACUGAAAUAAAAUAAAACCAAAAAGAGGGAUGAAAAAAGAUUUUUGAUAAAUUUUCAGAAAAAAUCAAAAAUAGCAAAAAAACAAUGAAAAACCCAAAAAAUAUAUUUUUGAUGUAUUCGCAUCGUUUUUAGCAUUUUCAACGUCAUCUCAAAAGAAUUUAAAUUUUCAAAAGUAUUUUGAACGCGUUCAACUCUUAACGCGUAAAUUUUAUGAUCAUUGACUUUCCUUGUUGAGCCGACGUUGAUAUUGCCCAUUUUCAAAAAUACAAAAAAAAAAGAGAAAAUCAAAAUUACAAAAAAAAAGAGGAAAAGAAAGGGAAAGGAAAGUUGAGGGACUGGUUUGGAAACCCCAGAAUAUUUCUUCUAUAAAUACUAAGCUACAGUAAAAUUUGGAGGGGGGCGGAGAAAAUGAACUGAGGGGUGAAAAUUGAUUCACGAGGGAGAAAUUUACACAGAAAGAAAAUUGAUUCACGGGGGUGAUGAAAAAAUUGUGGAGAGAAAAAAAGAGUAACCCUACAAACCAUCUUCCCUGCGCAGCCGCCCCGGAGGAUAAAAAAAACUAAAGCUUCCACCUUUUCUUCUUGGCAAGCCGCCGGCCUGGCCUUUGAAAGAAAAACCUAAGCCAUCAUCCACCCUUCUCCUCCAAAAAGAAACAAAGAGACCCCCUCUGUUGCGAUGUCGCGGUCGCACAAAUUAAUUACCCUAGCUUAAACACAUAAAAUAAGAUAGUAUAGAGAAAGCAAGGGGUCGAUCCCACGAGGAAGUUUGAAGUCAGAUUUUUAUGUUAUACGUUAUGUAAUUGGGGGGGAUUGAUUUGCAAUGAUUUAAACUAUGGCAGAAAUUAAACUAGCAAACAAAAUCAAUUGAAAUUGAAAUAUAUCAAGAAAACAAACCUUGGUUGCAAGUACACAUCCACCAACGGAAAUUAGAACCGAUCCUUGAAACGAAACUCCAGUUUAUAUUAUGAAUUCUAUCUUUUCUUAAUAUUGGUUAAUUAACGGAUCCGCCGUAUAACUAGCCCUAACCAACAAACAAUCACAGUGUUCGCACUAAUGAUUUAAUCCAAUGGCAACCUUAAGAUCCAGAUAAAUUCAUUAAUCUUAACAACCAAGUUGUCAAUUUGUGUUGCUAUGAUCGAAUGUUCUCCCUAAGUUUAAUAACGUAGUUCCGCUACAAUUAUCAAGCUUAGUUGCUUCGCAAGUUUAUAUACCACAACUCCGGUUUUGAUAUCAAACUUAGCAAUAGAUUGUUCACAAUAAUAACUUAGAGUCCGCUCUAGCAAUUAAGAUAAACAAUCAUAGGAAAUAUGCAUAGGAAAACAAACAUACUCAUUCAUAACAUAAACUGAAAAUAAAAGGAAGAAUAAAUCUCACGGUUCUUGAAAUCCGAAGGUUUGUUGUGUCCUUGCAACCAAGAAAACGAGCUUAGCCUUGCAUAUCUAAUGAACAACUACUCCUAAAGAUGAAAGAAUACAUAAUUUCUGAUUUGUAGAGAGGAGAGUUUGUGUUUCCUCCCUCUUCUUGCUUCUUUCCUCUCUUUUUUUUACCUCCUUCUACUCACCCUCUAUUUAUACACAAAUUGUAAGUAAGAAAAUCAAAGUUCAAGUGUGAACAUCAAUAGAUGGUGGUAGUGUGAAGGCGGCUGGUGGCUGUGGCUGGUGGCUGCUGGCUGCUGAGGUUGGUGGCUGCCAUGAGGUUGGUGGCUGCCAUGAGGUUGGUGGCUGCCUUCCUUGACCUUCUAGAAUAUUUACUAGAGGAGCUAAAUUGCUGGUCGGUUUGGAUGCUUCUAGAUGAAAUUUGAUUCGUUUCUUCACGCAACCUGCUUGCUGGCAGAAUUCAGCUGUCAUCUUUGAAAAAUCAUAUAUCCCUCAUAUGACAUCGUUUUUGGCUGAAAUUUGGAGCGUUUAUAGAUCUUUGAGUAAGGAAUCCAACAAAAUUGAGUUUGCAUCAAUUGGACUUCUGAAGCUCCAGAUAUUGAAUUUUGAAUGGGCAAAGGUCAACAUUGGCAGACUGCGAGAUUUGACUUUGAAGGAUGUGAUUUCCAUGAUCUUUCUCUUUUUAUUUUUCUUGCAUUACAUUUCCAAAAAGGUAUGGAUGUUAGCUUUUUAAUGCCACUGGAAUCACUUCAUUUCGAUCUCUGGAACUCACGCUCUGCACAAAAUACCGACUGAACGUCAAAUCUGCCAAUUACCUCCAAUUUACUCCUUUUUGCAUCUUUCAUCCAAAAAUGCCUUCAAAACAUAAAACAAAGAAUAUCAAGGCAUUUUAUAUAAAUAACAUAUGCAAAACACUAGUUAAAUGCGGGUGAAACUAUCGAAUAAUAUGGUUACAUCAAAUACCCCCACACUUAGCUCUUGCUCGUCCUCGAGAAAGGAUAAAUAAAAUUAAAUUGAAAAUAACUAUGAUCAAUUUCUUAAUCUCCCAUCAAUGUCUAAGAGUACAAGCAUUAUAAACAAGAAUACAAUCAUGAAGGAUAAAUAAUAUAAUUCUCAUGAAUUUAUUUACAUGCAAACUUCAAAACUCAAUCAAUCGUCUGGAUUUAAAUGAAAUCUAUGCCAUGCCAAAGUGAUAGGUCCUCUCAUUGAUAUACACUCCAACACUCAUGUGUUUAGGGUUUAUGUGUUUAAAUCUCUCAAAUUCAAUCAAAGAGUAUGUUCUACCAUAAGCUUGCUUUUCAAUCUCAUCUCCAUUAGCAACUUAUUACAAGUAUUACAUGAAUCAAAAGGUCUUAUUUUCCGGUUGUAAUGGGGCUGAGGUUAAGGUGAGGUAAAAGAAAGUAAAAGGAAAGGUUCAAACCAAUGAAAGUAGAGCAUUUUGAAAAAUGAUACUUCAAACAAGAUAUUCCAUCAAAGCUCAUAAAUUUUUCAUCUUUAAUCACAAAUGCUUAACUCCUUUUGAUUUCAAGCUCUUUCAACAUAAAACCUUAAGAACAUAAAGGAAUACUUUUUUUUUUUUUCUUUUUUUCUUUUUUUUUUGGCAACUUUGCCCAUUUUUUCAUCAAGCAUCACUUCUUUCUUUUCAUAUAAUUUCCAACCAUAAUUCCAUUAAAUAUUACAAGUAUAUGCUCUACUAAUCCUUGGCCAGGGGAAAAGAAAAACAUAUAUAAAGUUAAGGCUUAUACAUGGAUAAAGCAAAGAAAAGAUAAACAAGCUCAAAACGGGCUCACUAAGGAUAAUAUGCUUUAGGUUGGCUUUUUGGCUUGAGGGGUUAAAAUUCCUAAUCCCUUUAUCAUCUUCAUGUAUAUUUGUAAUGGGAUAUAAUCUCAAUAAGAUAUGAAGCAAGUUCUAGAGAUACUUAUCAUUGAAAGAAUGCACACUCAAAGAAUAUAAUGUUGAAGGCUCAAAAGCUUGCAUUGGUAUAACACUAUAAAGUCAACAUGGCAUAUUCUCAAAGUCAAUCCCUAAACCAAUUAAACCUUAAAAUUUGCAUGCAUACUCCUUCAUUUGAUUUAUAUCUUCAUCUAUCUCAAUUAAUUCUCAUAUAUAAUACUGAUAUUCUCAAAAACCAAUAGGAGUUAAAAAGAUCAAACAUAAUGUUUUUUUUUUUUUUUAAAGAACAACAAAGAAAAUGAAAAUAAGAAAACCAAAAUUCUCCCAAUACCCCCACACUUAAAACACAACAUUGUCCUCAAUGUUGAAAUAAAAGCAAAGGAACAUAAGAGAAUGACAAAGAUAAAGUAAAAUACGAAAAAUAAAAGAUAAGGAAAAAGAAAGCAAAUCUGAUUUUUUUUUCUUUUUGUGCUGGGUUGCCUCCCAGUAAGCGCUUUUGUUUUAUGUCAUUGGCUCGACAUAUUGCAUGCUCAUUCUUCAUAGAUUGGUUCAGCUAACUCUGCAGAAGCGGUGAGUUCUGCCGUCCAACCUUCAUAGAAAGGUUUCAAACGAUGCCCAUUGACUUUGAGUAUGUUGUUAGUUUCUAAACUUGUAAUUUCAACUGCACCAUAAGGAAAAACAUUAGAAACAACAAAUGGUCCAAUCCAAUGAGAGCAUAACUUUCCAGGAAAAAGUUUCAAACGCGAAUGAUAAAGAAGGACUUUGUCUCCAACAUGAAACUCCUUUCUUGUAAGCAUUCGGUCAUGAAGAUUCUUAGUCUUUUCUUUGUAAAUCCUUGCAUUCUCGUAAGCAUCAUUUUGAAUCUCUUCCACCGUAAUUCCAAUCUUUUUGGGCACCAAAAGGAUAGGCGCCACCCAUUCACUGUUCGUGAUGGGGUAAAUGACACCUGCAUCAUGAAGGAUAAUUUGCAAAGCUUGCAAAUCCAAUGCUGAUUCAUGCAUGUUUUGGGGAACACAUAUAUGCCUUUCCAUCUCUUCUAUCUUGGUAAAAGCAUAGUCAUUGCUCAAAGCUAUGCUUAAUCCAUCUUCGCAAUCAAAAUUAAAAACUUGCUGCACACACUUAUCAACUUGGUCAUAACAUGUGAUAGAAUAAACAUUGCUAUAAGGAUAUGUCAUUGCAUCAUGAAAAUUAAAUUCAAUUUUUUCAUCUCGUACCUCCAUAGACAAGGUAUCCUUACCACAAUCAAUCUUUGUGUUGGCAGUUUUCAAGAAUGGUCUCCCAAACAAUAUAGGAGUGCUGGUUGAUGAAUCACAAGAAUCAUGUUCCAUAUCAAGAAUAUAAAAGUCACAUGGAAUAACCAAACUAUCAAUCUUGACUAGGACAUCUUCUAUCACACCAAUUGGGUAAACAAAACUACGAUCCGCAAGUUGUAUUACAAUACUAGUUUUAUUCAAAGGCUCUAGACUAAGAGAAUCAUAAACAUGUUUAGGCAUAACACUAAUGGAUGCACCUAAAUCGCAUAAAGCACUUUUAAAACUAGAAUUACCAAUAACACAUGGGAUAGUAAACGCACCUGGGUCUUUUUGUUUCAAAGGCAGAUUCUUGACCUUUCAGUUUGAAAGCUCUCUUGGUAGUACACAACUCCUUCAACAAUUUUGCAUACUUGGGAAUUUGCUUGAUAGCAUCAAGCAAAUGAAUGUUCAGUUCCACUUUGUUGAAAACUUCUAAAAUCUCUUUUUCUUUGUCUUCUUUCUUUGACCUAGAAGAACUCACAGGAAAGGGUGGAAUUGUUUUAAAACUAGAAUUCAUUGAGUGAGGAGUUACCUUUGGAGUGUUGGUCGAUGUUUCAGUUUGGAAAGGAGAAGGAUGAUGUAUCUUCUUUGUACUCAAUUCAGUUUCUAUCUCUUCUUCUUCCUCCAUCUCAAUUUGUUUUGACCUUUUCUCUUCAAUUUCUUUCCCACUUCGCAACAUGAUCGCACUAACAUGCUCUAUUUGAUUCCAUGCUUGGGAGGGCAAUUUUCCAUUCAUUUGUGCUUCCAAUUUCCCUACACUUGAAGCUACUUGCCCCAUUUGCUUUUCCAAGUUGUGAAUACUUGACCUUGUUUCCUGUUGAAAAGAUAUGACAUUUUGUUGCAAGGUAACAGUAUUAGAAGCCAAAGUUUUCAUCAUCUCACGAAGAUCAUCAUUGGAUGACGACCCCAUAACAUUGGAGUUUGUGAAUGGAGGGGGUUGUCUUGCAAUGAACAACUACUCCUAAAGAUGAAAGAAUACAUAAUUUCUGAUUUGUAGAGAGGAGAGUUUGUGUUUCCUCCCUCUUCUUGCUUCUUUCCUCUCUUUUUUUUACCUCCUUCUACUCACCCUCUAUUUAUACACAAAUUGUAAGUAAGAAAAUCAAAGUUCAAGUGUGAACAUCAAUAGAUGGUGGUAGUGUGAAGGCUGGUGGCUGGUGGCUGGUGGCUGGUGGCUGCUGGCUGCCAUGAGGUUGGUGGCUGCCUUGAGGUUGGUGGCUGCCAUGAGGUUGGUGGCUGCCUUCCUUGACCUUCUAGAAUAUUUACUAGAGGAGCUAAAUUGCUGGUCGGUUUGGAUGCUUCUAGAUGAAAUUUGGAUUCGUUUCUUCACGCAACCUGCUUGCUGGCAGAAUUCAGCUGUCAUCUUUGAAAAAUCAUAUAUCCCUCAUAUGACAUCGUUUUUGGCUGAACUUUGGAGCGUUUAUAGAUCGUUGAGUAAGGAAUCCAACAAAAUUGAGUUUGCAUCAAUUGGACUUCUGAAGCUCCAGAUAUUGAAUUUUGAAUGGGCAAAGGUCAACAUUGACAGACUACGAGAUUUGACUUUGAAGGAUGUGAUUUCCAUGAUCUUUCUCUUUUUAUUUUUCUUGCAUUACAUUUCCAGAAAGGUAUGGAUGUUAGCUUUUUAAUUCCACUAGAAUCACUUCAUUUCGAUCUCUGGAACUCACGCUCUGCACAAAAUACCGACUGAACGUCAAAUCUGCCAAUUACCUCCAAUUUACUCCUUUUUGCAUCUUUCAUCCAAAAAUGCCUUCAAAACAUAAAACAAAGAAUAUCAAGGCAUUUUAUAUAAAUAAAAUAUGCAAAACACUAGUUAAAUGCGGGUGAAACUAUCGAAUAAUAUGGUUACAUCACCCUCCAUUUUUGAUCUUCUUCUUCUUGAGUCCGCCUCCCACAGCCCCUCUCUCGGCUGCUCACUUCCCCUCCUUGAAAAACAGAGUCGGCCGCCCCUUUGAAAAAUACAAGAGCCCUAUCUUCUCCCCAUUUUCCUAGAGACAACCGGCCGCCCUCAUCCAAAGAAAUUAGAGGGAGACCCUGGCCUUGAGGUUUUUGAAUCGGGAGCUUCUUCUCCCAAACUAAGGCCAGCCACACGUCCCUCCCCCCGGCCAUUUUCGUUUCUCUUCUCCCCAACAAAGCCAGCCGAAUAGACGCCAACAGUAGCGGCGCCAUCUUCACCAGUGAGCCAGCAAUCAACACACGGCAGCGCCGGGGCAACACUCUCUUCUUCAUCCUCUGCAACCAACCACAACAGCGCUGCCAUCACUGGAGACCCAGCAUCUUACAGACCUCGUCUGUUACCUCACUGUCGGCCACGACAUCCCUCUCCCUGUGCAGCGGCGUCUCCUUCCCCCAUCACAGCAACGUCGCCGCUCCUCUCAACGCUGUUUUCUCCACAACAGAUCUGAAGAAGGAGAAGAAAAAACAGAUCCGUGAAAAAAGUAAAGAAAAAUUAAAAUCGACUGGAUGUGGUGUUUGUUUGGCUUUGUAGGUGACGCUGUUCUCACCGCCGACAAGGAAGGGAAGAGGGGAGGAGGUCGUUGCAGACCCCCCUGUUUCCGGGUUGUUUUCACGGCGGCGCGUGGACCCACGCGCUGCCAGUGGCGGUGGUGCGUGAGAUCCACGCGCCGCCACUGUCCCUACUGAUCCAAAAGUCUUCCCAGCAUUUCUAGAUUUUGUUUUGGGGCUAUUUUGUAAUUUUUGGUUUUUGUUUAAUGUAAAUUUUUGGUUUUUGUUUAAUGUAAUUUUUGUAACAUGUAAAUGUUGCAUGCGGGUGUAAUAAAAAGAAAUAAUAAAAAGAGAUGUGUGUGCGUGUGUUAUUGUAUUUUCAUUUAUGUUAUUGAAUUAUAAAAAUAAAAAAUACAAAAAAGAAUUAAGUAUUUAAUUUAAAUAUGAUUAAAUAUCUUAAGGAUAAAUAAAAUCAUGUUAUAUUUUCCAUGAAAAUGUAAGAACAUGUUUCUACAUAUAUUCUGGGAUUUAAUAACUGAUUUAUUCAAGCCUUAGAAUUUGAUUAAUAUUUUAAAUUUUCAAAUCACAUCAAACCACAAAGCAGCUUACCUCAGGUAGGGUGUGCUAGGGGUGCUAAUACCUUCCCUAGCCACAAUCAGUCCCUUACCCACAAAUCUCUGACCACGACCAGUAAAUCUGGGUUUCCUAGUAACCCUCAAUCCAAUACUAGGUGGCGACUCCCAAGACCCCUAAUAAAGCAAAGAAACGAAAAAUCGCCAAAGUUGAAUCGCCGCGUGGAUUUUGACGUGCGACAGAAUGGCGACUCCACUGAGGACAGGUAUUGUUUUCAAACUUUAUUGGACUAAGCUUUGUGUUUUUGAUGUGUUUAAAUUUUUUACCUUUUGUCUUGUUUUAUUUUUGUUUUGUUCAUGCAUUGUAUAGAUUUCUAUCAUACAUCACAUGUUUUAAUUUUUGAAAGCACACACAAGCUUUAGGUUAGGUGGGGGACUAACAGCUUGCCUUAUGCCUUGAGUCAAGGUUUAAGUUUGUGUAAACCCCAGCUCUUCGUUGAGUGCUUAGACUGGUAAAUAUUAGCACACGUGUUGACCAUUACCUACUGGGCCCCUAUAUUGCCUUUACGAGGGUGAUCACUAGGACAACAGGAGACCCUUUUUAGAGACCAAGUAGCAAACUACCCUUUGUCUCACGUAAAAAGAAUAGAACCUGCCUUUAGGAUGAUUGCUCCGUAAAUAUUUGUUUUGCAUCUGAGCAAGCCCUUCUUGAAGCAUCUUGAAUUCAGGACUUAUGGGGGAUAAAAUGGUCAUCACUCAAGAAAUUUCUAUUGUAGAGUUUGAUCAAGAAUAAAAAUUCUUGUUUCAUUAUGCAAGAGUUAUGACCAUAUGUCACCCCUCGAAGGGUGAGUUCAUCAUAUAGAUUACAUGUUCAUACAUUUAUCAUGCAUGUGUCGGGAUGAAAAAUAGGUUCCCCUACCCGAGGUCUACUACACUGGACUGAAAGAGAUUGGGAAAUGAAGAAAGGGGUCAAAGAGAGGCUCAUUGUCAAAAGAAAGUUGAGAGCAUCAAAGAUAAAGUAGCUAGACUCAGAUUUGCCCGAACAAGUGUAAAACAUCAAAUGGAAAGGGAAUGUCUGCACAGUCUUCUGUGGGAAUACAACUUGUCUACAUCCCAUUGAAGUUGCACCUCUCCUUUUCAGUCAUGAACAACGGCAACAAUGCUUUCAGUCAUCAAUUAAUGACCAUCUUUGUUCAUGUGGUAGUGCUCUUUCUGUAGAGAUUUGUUUGUGGAUCUGCCAGUGGGGAAUGCAAGAGGGGAUGUAGUAGUUUCAUAUGCUAUGAAACUUUCCCCCGUCAAUUUCAGCACCGAAACACAGAAGUAGGUUGAAAGACAGACCUAGGAUGAAAAGCAAGGAGAAGAUUGAAACUUCAACAGAGCAGAACUCCCUCUACAUGUGUUUGUUUGCUACACCGUCAAUGAGGAAUCAAAGAUGAGACAGAGGAGCUUUUGAUUCAUCAGGCUCUCCUACAAUAGAGACAGCGCAUGAUUCCACACGUCGGCAGUGGCGAUGCUGCCAGUUUCUAGGCGCUGCCAAGAUUACCAAGUCGUUGGAAAGUUUUCUAAUAAUCCUCAAACAACCACAACAACAUUGGAAGAUUGACACGAUGUUGAGAGGAUUGCUGAAAUAAUUGAACAUGCUGGGAAAGAUUGAGGGUUUUACCGUGGAUUCCAGAACUGUGAAGAGAGUUGAAUCAGAAGAUGACUCUCAGUUGAGAAACCUCAGUUAUUUUGCUUAGUCAGGUCUUGCCAUAGCAUCAACUGCUCAAGUGUCUCUGCUAAGAUUGACAUCCUUCUGCCACCCAAGUUGACCUACCAACAUUUGUCAGAUUCCAUACUUGUUGCCCCAACUUCGAUAAAUUGCAUCCAACCACCGUGGUAUAAUUCAGACGAGAUGUGUUGUUAUGGUGGGGUCCUCGACCAUUUUAGUUGAACAGAUGCAAGAGUUUCAAUAAUCGAGCCGAGUUUGUGAAAGAUGAUGUCACUGAUUAUUUUUGUCACCAGAACAUCCUCAGAAUGACAAAUGAUCAGAAUUGCUUGGCAAAACAUAGAUAUCGCCAGAGUAGCUGAUCCAAGAAGGAGUUAAACUGUCAAUCAUCUUUGUUAUGGAUUUUUGCCAUGUUGCAUUUUUGUUCUGGGGUCACAUCUCAUCCUUGAACGAAGCAUGUCUUUCUUUUGUCUUAUUGUUGUUUUGAAAUCAAGAGAUACUUUUUUCAAUGCGUGUUUUGACAAAAUUUGUGAUUGAACUCCAACAUGCAAAAUUAAGGCUAGUGAAUCCUUAAAGAUCAAAAGUGCUUUGAUUACAAAAAUGACUCGAUGCUUGAAGAUGACAUGAGGUGACCAAACAAUUUUGAACUCAUACCUCCUGAAACUGAACCACCCAUUAUGUAGCUAUGUUUUAACAGUAUGCAUAAUGACAUGUAGUGGAUUCGGUAGCUAUGGACUCGUGAAUCAUUGACUCUUACAAGUCCAAAUCAUUACACUGGAUGAGGUCAAAAUUUAUCGGUUUUAACUGACCUUGCUUGAAAUGAGAAAAGGCCAUCUUUGUUAUCCCUUCACGUUUCUUGAAAUAUUAUCCCUUGCAGUUCUAUUUUGAGCCUGGUGACAUAUUUUCUUUCAAAAAGAAACCCUGACUAGGAUCACACCCCACACUGGGGGCAAAUGAGAAAUAUUUUGGAGACAAUGAUAAAAUCAAUGGAUCAAAGAAAGGCUUAGAACAAAAGUCCAAUGACUGAGAAAGGGCUAGAAGAAAAAACCUUAGAUUGAGGGCCAUCCAAGAAAAACUUUGAGGAAGGCUAUGAAAAAAAAAAAAAAAAAAUGAAAAUGAAAGAGAAUGCCUAUCAAUUCUAAGAGGGGCAAAAGAUGUUUCAAUUGAAGAAAGACACAGCAAAUGCCAAAAUUCAACAAAAAAAACCAAGUUUCAUGUCUUUUGGUGUGUCUAGGAUAAAGCCUCUAAUGUCUUCAGAAAAAUUAGAUUGGUUAUUCAUCAAAGAAAAAGUUGGAUUUGCAUUAUGACCUAUGUUAAGAGAAUUCUGAUAUUUGAAUUUAACAAGGUUAUAUGUCACUUUCUCUACAAUGACAACAAGAGAAAGAGAGUUGAUGAAUAGUUGAUGUUGAUCCUAGGUCUUUGAAACCCUCAAACACCUUUUGAGCCUGUGAAUUUUUUUUUCAUAGCCAUGAACCAUAGCCUGCAUUACGUGCUUUAAAAGCCCUUUUUGAUCAAGUAAGCAAUCUGAACCGAUAAAUGGCGAUCUCAAAACUUGAAGAGCUUUCCAUAAGAGUCGUGGCUUCAUAGAUUAAGCUACUGUUAUUAUGCAUGCUGAUAAAAUUGAUGCUAAAAAAGAAAACAAUCUUUCUUGAUGAAUCCUCAAGUUUUGACUUGAGCCUUUUGUUUUUUAAAUUCACAGAAGGUCACCUCAUCGCAGACCAUCAAAAGAUAUACCCAAGAUCAAAGAUUAAAACUGACACAAAGAACCAUGAAAAAAGUCAUUUUAAUCUCACAAUGGGUCAUUUCUGUUUUCAAAAUACAAGACAAUCAAAGGACUGCAUUAAAUAGUGUGUGUUGGGUCUUUGACCAAAGAAGCUUGAUUUAUGAAAAUACUUUCAAAAACAGACAUCUCUUUGAUUUCAUUUCAACAAUUAGACUUGAAUAGACAUGAUCGUUGAAAUAUGAGAUUUGAUUCCAGAACAAGAAAGAUUUUCAAACAAGAACAUCGAUUGAGUUUGCAAAAUCCUUGACAAAAAUGACAUCAACAUUUCUCGACACUCCUUGAAACGUUGACCACCUGGGGGCAAUACAGCAGACCCUAAGAAGGGAAACAAACAAUGUUCAGAUCGACUGGGGGCAAUUUUGUUCAAAGACAAUCUGUGAUUUAGUGAACUUCAGCAGCAAUUGAUGAGAAACGCUGCACUUGAAGGGCAUUUAAUUAUCAUCAGCUUGGGUUAUCCUCUGAAACAUGGUUAUGACUCCUGACAGAUGUUAUCACGUGAGUGCAUUUGAAUGAACAUCGAACGAAUGCAUACCACCAAGACUGACUGUGGUACCAUCUGUUUUGAAACCCAAAUGUGCACUUCACCGCAUGAAUAUGGGUAAUGAACAUUAUUGGUAAUGCCAAAUCAUUUCUUUGCAUAAGCUAAUUUGACAAGCUGAGAAAUCCAUGAGAAAGUACAUUAAGCUUACAACGAUGAGCCUUUCCCUGCAAAGUAUGAGAUGCAUGUCGGAAUGACGUGGCAGUUCCAUGAUUAUGGAUGACCAUAUAUACUUGAAUGGUGUUUCAACUGGAGGCAAGUUCAUGACUAAUUGGCAAUCUUGAUGGGUGUUGGCAUGAUGCACACAAUCAAUCAAAGGAUAAUCCUCGAAAGAAUCUAGGAGAGAAAAUCCUUCAUAAUGAAUCAAGCAACACCACACUUGGGGGCAUUGUCAAGCUUGAUGAAUGACGAGAGCAGUUACCGUCGAAGACAGCCUAAGAUAGGCACUGCAUUUACAGCUAAGUGACGGCUAUCACAUGAAUGAGCCAAUGCAUGGAAAGAACAAAGAAUGCUUUGUAAUGCAAACAAAGGCACCAUAUGACGAUGGAGCAUCAAGGAGGGGGGACCUAUAUUUCAAAUCAGGUAAGGAUGCAUGCAUAUCAUCUAACCUAAAAAAAAAAAACAAAUUGCACAGAUUGUUGAUUUGUUACAGGAAGAUCCUCAAUGAAGUCCAGCAAAAUUGUGGACAGAAUGAUCCUUAUUUUUAUAAUUGUUAUUUGUUUUUUCCUUAUCAUUUUUUAAUUAAAAUUUUUUUUUUAUUAAAUUUGAUCCUCAUUCUUUUGAUUGCUACUUAUUUUAUUUGAAAUAAUUGAUGAAAUGUUAAUUAUUAUUAUUUUAAUUUCAUUAUAUUUUAAUUUUUUUUAUCUGUUAGAUUUGAUCUCUAUUAUUUUGAUUAUUAUUUAUUUUUUUGAGAUAAUUUAUUAAAUUAUAUUUUUUUCAAUUUCAUUCGCAUUCAACUUUUUAAUUUGUUAGAUUUGUUUCUUAUUAUAUUAAUAAAUUUUUAAAAAAUAAAACAAUAAUAGACUAUUUUUUCAUUUUAUUUUUCAUAACAUAACUAAAUACUGAAAAAUAUUUUUCAAUUUACUUUUCAUUAAACUAUUAGUUAUUAUAAAAUAAUUUAUUUUUCUUGAAUUUCUUUCUUACUACUUUUUAAAAGAAAAAAAAUUACUUUUUAGUAAAUAAACACGGGGCUAAAUAAAGUUAGAUAAUCAUGAGAAAAGUAAAUUCUGCUCACCUUGACUAAGAGAUAGUACUUGUUCUUUAGACAACCGACAGUUUUUUUCUAGAACAAAAUUAGUUUUUUUACCAAUGGUAAGACGUUAAAAGAACAUUCAUGGGCAUGAUUGAGAGGGUACUUUUCAAGGGACCCGACAUUUUUUCAUUAUACAUCAGAUGAUGCAGCUUCUUUUGUAUUUUUGUUACCAAAUUAUUUGGAAAAUUGACAUAUUUACCUUAACAAUAAUUCAAUCUUACUUGAUCUCCAUCAUUUUAAAUUUCCAACAUCAUCCAAUUAAACUUUUUUUUUGGCUCAAACUAUAAUUUAAUAAUAAAAAAUUAUAAUUUUCAAUAUGAUUAUUAAAUCAAAAUCAAAAUUCUUUGAAUUAUUCUAUAAGUUCAGUUGUAUAAAAAAACUCAAUUAACUUUGACUAACUGAGCUCUAAAAUAUUUUUAAAUUAAACUUUGAAAAUAUGAAUUGAGUUAAUUUUGUUAUUUAUUUUAAUUUUUCUAAAUUUAAAAGUAUUGAUUGUUCCAAUAUUUACUCUCUCUCUUUUUUUUAUCGUGUUCAAGAGUUGAAAUCUUAAUAUGUUUGUUUGUCAAUAUAAAAAAUAUAUUUUUAGAACAAGUGUGUAUUUUGUAAGGCAGUACAUAUUUUUUUAAUUAAAAUUUUUUAAAAUAAAAUUUUUUAUUAGUAUAUCAAAACCAUCAAAAAAUACCUAAAAAUAUUAAUUUUAUACUAUUUUAGGUGGAAAAGAAAUUUAAAAAGCACUUUAAAAAAUAUACUAAACUACAAAAACAAACAUUUUCUAUUUAAUUUAUAAAUAAAUAUAUUUCUUAUAUUAUUAUCACUUAUUUAAAUUUUACAAAAAAUUAUAAGAAAAUUAUUCCUCAUCAAUACAUCAAUUCAAGUAUGAACACCACAUUUAAGACUAGUCAAUAUUUUUUUAUAUAUAAAUAAAAAAAAGAUAGUUACUCCCUCCACUAGUUAGGCUGGUUACUAUAUAAUGAAUUGUAUCUUUUGGUAAGAUGUGUCCAGUGAACAACUUGUAUUGGGAAAACCUAAAUGAAACACUACUUUUUCCGAUAGCUAAGAAAUAUGGUGGAUGUGAUAUUAUCAUCACAAGGGUAGCAUGUGAGUCUACUCACCAAGGUAUUGCUCCGAGUUUAUUCGUAAAAUUUAAUUAAAGAAGGAUAUUUAUGAAAAUUAAUUAAAAAAAUCGAAUGUACAACAAAAAUAUCUUAUUAUGUCUAAUAAUAUAUUAGAAGAAAUAAACCAGCAAAAAAAAUAAAAAUGUGUUUGAUCAUAAAGAGGUGGAGAUGAAAAUAUAAAUUAAAUUUCUAUACAAUAAUUUUACAGUUAAUUUUUAUUAUUUCAAAAAAAAAUAAAAAAUAAAAGUAAUGGUUGAUUAUUGUAUUUGAACAAAAAAAUAAAAAAUAAAAACAAAAAUAUAUUUCGUUGAAGAAAAGCAUAAUUUAAUCAUAAUUUUUAAAAAUAGCCUUCUAACCUUAUGUUCAAAAUAUUCUUAAAUGAUUUAAGAAUUAAAUUUUUAAAUAGAUGGUGUAUUUAAAAAACUAAUAAUUAUAUAUAUUUUUAAAAAUAUAUCUGUAAGUCAUAAUUAUAAAACCUGAGUAAUCCGGUAAACAAUUUGAAAUCUCACGAGAACUAAACUAGUUUAGAUUGAGAAAAUAAUAACAAUAAUAAUAAAAUUAACUUAGUAAAAAAUCUGGGUUUGUGCAAUAAUUUACCAACUCUUCACCCGUUAAUAUCUUUUUUUAAAAAAAAAACAAUGAAGUUUUAAUUUUAAAAUAUUAUAUUUUAACCUAGAUUUACCCUUCAUAUCCAUAACAUCGAUCAAUCCCUUGUGUCGGGUUUUAUAAGUAUACUUUGAAGUUAAGGUUAAAGAAAAUAAAAACAAAAUUGUAAAAAGAAAUUGUUUUCUUAAAUUAAUUUUCAAACCUCUCGCUCUCAUGUUCUCAUAUUUCGACAACAUGGAAAGCACAGAGAUUUCUACGCCUAUUACUACAACUCUUUCAAACGUACCUUAGCAACCGGAACUCCUGUCUCUCCUCUUCACUUUUCGCUUCUCGUACGUUUCUCUCGUUCUCUCCCUCCAAUUUUUUGACAAUUCUUUUCUCUCUCUUUUUUAAAAUCUUUAAUUAAUUUUUGUAUUUAGUUCUCUUUAUCUUUCUUACGUUUUCUUGAUCAUCUUGUGGUGGGUUCUUUUCAUUUCUCUCGUGACUGCAUGUCCUUAAAUUUCAAGCCUUUUCUUCCCUUUUAAUUGUAUAUUUGUGUAUAGUAUAUAUAGACCCUUUUGUGUUCUUGGGAGGUUUGUGAUUGUUAUUGCUGUUUCCAGGUGCUGUUUUGAUGUUAAAAAGUGUUUUUGUUUUAGUAAAUUGCUGCUUUCAAAUAUUUGAGCUAUUUUUGACUGACUGGCCCUCUUUUUCCCCAAGAUCCAAAUGGACCAGUAAAAAGUAGGAAAUAAUUUCAAACUCCGUUUUUCAUGUAGAAAAAUAGGAAUAAUAUGCAAAAGGACUCGAUGGGAUCUCUGCUUUAGAACAUUUCAAGCUGUCAAGCCUGUUAUAGGUAUCUAAGUUCAAUGAAGGUAACAUUUCAAGCUGUCAAGCUUGUUAUAGGUAUCCAAGUUCUAUGAAAGUGAGGUAAGCCUUUAAAAUGGCUUCAGAUGUAUCUACUUGUUAAUGCUUGUGAUAUACUGUGUUCUUUAGUGUGGUUAUAAAUAAUGUAUGAGCAAGGUGUCUUGAAGCCUCGUAUUGUGAUUACAUGCCCAAACUAGCUAGUCGAAUAAAUGAAGGGACAAUAGAGUUUCCGAGGUGAUUAUUUUUUCUUUUUGGAAAAUUGAUUUUUCUUAGUUAUUAUCUUUUUUUUCUAUUUAUUUUAAAAUAUUAUGUUUAACAAUUUUAUUUUUUAUUUUGUUUAUGAAUUUUAUUGCUUUUUAUUAUUAUUAUUAUUUAUUUUCAAUGUUUUUAGUUUGUUUAGGUGUUUUUUUAGUUUAUUUAAGGAGUUGUAAAUCUCUUACAAAGGAAACUACUUGACAUGGUAAAUUAUUAAGAAAUAAAAUUUUGAAUUCUGGUUUUUGGUGUGAUGAUCCUUUUUAGUAGAAUUGUGUUGUUUGUUUUUGCUAUUUUUUUGUAUUAUUUCUGUUUAUAUUAGUUGGUAUCAGAACCUAACAAUCUUUGAUUAUUGUUUGCUUGUUGUAUGCUGCAAAACAACCAUAGCUGGAAAAAAUAAUAAAACUAAACAUGUUCAAGGAGAGGAUGAAGAGGUUUCCUCUUUAGAGAAAAAGGUUCAUGAGCUAGAAAUUGAGGAUAUACAAAGGUAGAUCGCAAAGCUUACGUGACAAUUGAAAUAAAACACCCAACAAGAAUAGGAGGAGAGUAAUUGUGAACCCUGGCUAAUCUAGAGGAGGCAACCUUUUAAUUGGGCAGCACUUCAUGGAGAUUUUGAUUUUUAAAUUAAACUUUCUAAUUUUGUAGGAACUUUACAAGUGGAAGAGUUAUCGUUUAGUUGAAUGAAGUAUAAGGGAUUUUCAAGUGCAUAAAAGUUUAAGAGCAGAUAAGGGUGAAGCUUAUUGGUAUUAGAUUAAAAGGGCGAGCUUAUGCUUGGUGGAAGCAAUUAAAGAGAAAGAUAAAGGAACAUUUUUUUUCUGUUUGGAUACAUUUAAACUUUUUACCAAUGACUUCAUACAUUGGGAUGGGAGAACUAUUGCUAAGUACAUUGAAAACUCUACCAACCGGUGGCUAAGAAUGAUUUUUCAGAAAGAGUAGUUGAUUGCUAGGUAUUUAAAGUAGAUUAUGAUAGUUCAUGCAAGAUGUAUUGUGUUUGCAUUCUUUAUAAAUAGUUUUGUAAGCCUAUAAGAGAGCUUUGAUUAUGGAUAAACAAUAGGUUAUUAGGGUAAUUAACAAAGGUGGCUUUUGAUUUGACCAAAAUAAUAAGGAGGUGUGCGCUAACAAAAAAAAAUAUCAUUCAUUUAGCCCGAAUCGAUAACUAAAUAUAUCACAAGUUAAAGUUCAAGUUCUAGAUAUGAUUUUAAAUUUUAGUGUUUUAGAUAUGAUGAAUUAGGACAUUGAAUUUAUAAGUGCCAUAAACCAAAGAGUCGUAAGUGUAAACAUUUGUAAGUAAAAUAGCAUAAUGAGAAGAGAAGUGAUCCUAUUUAUGAUGAUUAAUAUGGUAGUGAGGAGGUUUUCUAAGAUAAUGAUGGUGCUACCUCAAUUAUCCAAAAGAGUUUGCUUAUUCUUAAAAGUGAUUCAAAUCAUGAUUGGCUACACACUAGUCUUUUUCUUUCAACUUGUACCUUCAAGGACAGUGUAUUUAAUUUGAUUAUUGAUAGUGGUAAUUGUGGAAAGGUGGUGUUAAUUGAAGUAGUAGAGAAGUUGCAACUUAAAAAAAAAAACACCAUAUACCCUACAAAUUGAAGUAGAUGAAUCGAGAUCCCAAUGUAAUCAUGGAUGAAUAUUAUCUUGUUUUAUUUUUUAUAGGUAAGAGAUAUUUUGAUAGUAUUUGAUAUGAUGUUGUGUCUAUGGAUGUAUGUCAUUUAUUGUUGUAUAGACCAUGAUAAUAUGAUAAGAAUAUCAUGCAUAACAAACAAUGUAAUACUUAUACCCUUAAUAUAGUAAUGAAAGAAAAGGGAAGUUGUUAAGAGUGAACAUAAAAAUAUGUUGUUUUUAUUCUAAUUUAUUGAAAUGAAAAAAAAAACAGAGAGAGAAAGGAGAUUUUAGAGAAUCAAGAUGACAUGAAAAAGGGUAUGAUGUGGAAUAAGUCAUUGGUGGCUACUAAUGGUUCUACAAAGAUUGAGAUUAUACUAGUAUAAAACUAUAACUAAUCUUCAGGAUUUUUUAGCCAUUCUCAUCGUGUCAUUUUGCAGCAACAAAAAUAAAAAUAAAAAACUACUACAUGCCUUCAUCUCUUUGCUAUCUUCUUUUUAUCUCUAAAAAGGAGAUAAAAAUGAAUAAAAUGAUCAUUGAAGAGUAAAAAAAAAAAACAGAGUUUAUUUUACUUGAAAAAUAUUAAAUUAAUAUAUUUUUUUAUGAUUUUAAUGUUAAAAAAAAAAAUUCUUGCUUUUUCUUUGGACGAUCAUUUAUUUUGUUUUUAAAAAAUGUAAGGCAAAUAGUAUAUUUAAACUCUAUUUGUUUUUUCAUUUCAAAAGUGUUUUUCAAAAAAUUAAAAAACUAUUUUUUUAUCUGCUUCAAAUUGAUAUUUUUUUAGUGUUUUCAUAUCAUUUUGAUGUCCUGAUAUUAAAAAUAAUUUUUAAAAAAUAAAAAAAUUAUUUUAAUUUAUUUUUUAGUAAAAAAUAUUUUUAAAAAUAACCAGAAUCAUACUCCCGAACACCCUAUUAGUGCCUGUUGGAGAACUAGUGGCUUUUGUCUCCUUUUUUUUUAAAAAAAAAGGAUAACAAGUGUUUGAAAGAUUUUUAAAAGUUAUUUUGAAAGCUCUCUCAACAUAUAUAUAUAUAUAUAUAUAUAUAUAUAUAUAUAUAUAUAUAUAUAUAUAACCUGUUAGUGAUAUUUAUAUGUAUUAGAUGGAAUUGAGAUUAUAUUUAUUUUAAAGUCCAAUAUGAAGAUAUUUUCGUGAAUAGAGUAAUAUAGCAUAUAGUUGCUACCGAUCAAGGAUUAGAUAUCACAAAUUAAACCACAUUUUUUUAAUCAAUUAAAUACUUUUAGCUUUGAUUUUUUUUUCCCAUUCGACAAUGUAAAAAAUAUUAUUAUACAAUUACACAUCUUGGUUAAGUUUUUCUUGUGUCGUGAAUUAUUUUCUUUUAUAAUUUACUAUAAUGCCAUCGAACUAUUAUAAAACCACUAACAACACUAGGAGCAAGUCGGCGGUGGAUUGGGACGGCCAUUUCCAUGGCCAUUAAGAGCCCGUUUGGCUACGCGUUAGAGUUUGCAUUUCUUCAAAAACACACUGAAUAAACAUUUGGUUAAGAAAAAAAAACUACUUAAUAUGCAUCGGUCCCACAACAAAUUGUGUGCGAAACGUAGGGAGAUGGAAAGCAGCAAGCUGCUGCUUUCUUGCGCGGCAACAAAAGGCAACCAUGCUACACUGCUCACUGAACAGUGUAGCAUGGUUGCCUUUCGUGGAGCAGCAAAAUGCAUUGAACCGGGUCCGACCCAGUAAAAAAAUAUAUUAUUUUUAUUUUUUAAUUGUGUUUUAUUUGCUUGAUGAUAUAGUAUUUGCAGAAUUUGAUCACAAUUCUAAUUUGUUCCUGAUUAUAUUUUACAAGUUAUGUUGUUGCGUAUUAAAGAAACCAAGAAAAUUGUCGGAUGUAUUUCAGAUGUGAUGGAAUUGUAGAUCGUUCAAUGGAAUAAUAAAAAAAAUAUUUUAUAUAAAGUAUGAUUUAUUUUAUGAUGUAAUAGCAAUAGUUAAAUCCACAAUAUUUAAAUUAAAAAUCAUCAAUAGUAAUAUAUAUUUUUUAAAAUUAUUUUAUAAACUCAAUUUUAAAAGCAUUCUUAACCAAACACAUUAAAUUAUUUUUUCUUCAACCUCAAUUUCAACCACUGUUUUAACCAAACAUCUAUUUUUUCAAACCACCUCAAUUAAAAGUACUUUUUAUAAAAUAAUUGUUUUCAAACCACAAUCACAACAGCUACAAUAAUACCAAACACACUCUAAGUAUCCAUUUCUGACAAACACACUUAUCUCAUAAAUACCACAGAAAACUGUGCAAGUCACACAUUUUAUCCACCAUUUAGCCCGAUAAACACUAGUUUGCAUAAGCUUCAAAUAACCAUUCCAUGGCGUCGCGUCUUGGAGGUUCCUACAACAGUUAAAAUAGCUAACAUGGUGUCAGCCAUUGAAAGAUAAACAACGCUAAAAUUCAAAAUGGUUGGAGUUAGAUAAUAUAUUAUCAAUAUAUAAUUUAUAAAUCUAUAUUUUAUAUAAACUGGAGCCAAGUUUGCCUUCUUUUUUUUUUUUAAUCUUGGUGUCAACUAAAGAGUGUUUUUAGCGUUAAUUGUAUUUGUUACUAAAAAGUAAUUGGUUAGUAAUCUCAGUAAUAAUCUUGUUGGUUGUUAUUAAAUGAAAUUAGCUAAGUUAAAAUUGGUUAGGCAAGAAAUGAUUAGGUAAUUUUUUUAGAAAGCAAAAGUCUAAUGACAUUUUAAAUUAUUGACUUCAUGGUUAUAAUUUUUCAAUUUUAACAAAUCAUCAUUAAAUUCAUAUGUAUAUAAAGUAUUUAAUUUUAAGAUUUAAUGGUUUGUUUUAAGAAUCAUAUAAAGUUGAUGAUUUUAAAAUAAAUAAUACUACAUAGACAAUGCAAUAAAUAUAAGUUAAAUUAUUUUGUAAGAAUGAUAUUAGAAUAAUGCUGGAUUGCUAUUGAUUUUAUCAUUGAUAUGUGUAUAUUUUGAUACAUAGUAGAAGCUAAAUAAUAAUGGCAUUUGAUAGUGUCCGUCCUAUAUAUUCCACAGAAAUAAUGAUUUAUGGUUAUUGAUAUUAUCAUUGAUCACAAGUAUAAAUUUGGUUAACAUAAUAAUAAAAGAUAAUAAGAUAUUUGUAAAGAAUGUUGGGAUAUGAGAAAUAAACCAUUCUUAAAAGAAUGAAGUCUAAUUAUUGCUUUUAUUAAUUUGAAUACUUUAAUUGGUUGUCUCUCCUCAACAUACUACAAAGUAACGGAAUAAUUAAAACCCCAACUUACCUAUACACGUGUACCAUCUAUCACGAUAAAUGGGAUAUGAGAAAUCUUUGGCCACUAAGAGUCAUUCUCCUUUCUACAAUUUUCUUUAAGAUGUGGACAUUGCCAAAUAAGCAAUGCCUUUAAUUUGGAGAGGCGUUGAAUGGCUGUUGAACUUGGCAUAUACUUGAGAUUCUUGCAAUCCUAAGAAAUCGAAGAGAAGAAAGGUUGGCCAUCUAUUUUGGCAAUGCUUCCUCUAACUCAGUUUAAAAUAAAAAAAAAUAAUUUUUUUUUUCAAAUUUUAAAAAAAAAUGCUUUUAAAAUGUAAAAAAAAAAUAAUUAUUAAACUCAGUUUAAAAAACAUGUAAAAACUGCUUUACAAAAACCACGUUUUAAACUCAAUUUUUUAAUAUGCCUUACAAAAUAAAACUAAGAAUAAACAAACGCACCUGAGCUGAAAACUUCCAUUAUCAACAGGAGAAUAUGACUUCAUGUAGUGGUAGAACACCUCCUUCAUAGGAUCUCCCCAUUCCUACAGUAAACAAAAAGUGAUAAGCAAGUAGCAUCAAGCCACCGACACAUAAUUUCAUAGUUGGAGCAGGCAAACCCUACCUAAGCAGCCGACAUUUCAGAGAAGAAAAAAAAACCAGCCGACAACCUCUGUUCCUGGGAUUUUGGUCCUAUAAAACUCUGUACACGUGUUGAAUCUUCUUGCCCAUCACUUUCUAGUGGAAGAGUGUGUUUGUUUUUGCUGUAAUUGUUAUUGUUGCGGUUGAAAAAAAAAACACUUUUUAAAAAAAUCACCUUUCUUGUUGUUCGUUUAUAUAUUUGAGUGUUUGGUUAAAAGUGUGGUUUGACUUUAUUGUGGUAAAAAACAUGGUUGGUUAAAACUGUGGUUGCGGUUGCUUUUGUACCAAAAAUGACUAAAUAAAAUAAAAAGGACAUUAAUAAUAUAAUUCAUUGUGUUAAGAGGAAAUAAAACAUUUUUUCCAUAUAAAUACCGGCAAUAAUAAAAGCAUGCUUUGUUAUUACAAUUAAACAUUAUUGUCCCAUCAAAGUAUUUGCAAUGCCAUCAUGAAUAUAAUCCAUACGCGACGCCCUCUGGUGUCCACUUGUUUGUGAUUGUGGAACGACAUCGGGAAAAAUAUCUUGAGGAACGAAAUCAGGAUGACUAUCAAACUUGUUGAAUGCAACAUCUUGGCCCUACUUCCGUCGAAUAUAGUUGUGUAGCGCCAUUGAUACGACAACAAUUUUAACCUGUGAUUUAUAUGGAAACUCAUGCAUGGUUUGCAAGAUUCGCCAUCUUUUCUUCCAAACUCCAAAUGUACGUUCGACUACACAUCGUAAUGACGAAUUGACUCGAUUAAAUAGUUCCUCUCGACUCCGUGGUUGUCCUCGUCGAUGAAAUUCUGGAAGAUGAUAUCUUUCCCCUUUAUAUGGACCCAAGUAACCGUACUCAUUUGGAUAUCCUGAAUCAACAAGAUAAUACUUCCCUGCAUAAAUGUUAGAAUUGAUUAACGCUUACAAAAUACUUCAUAUAAAACAAAUUAGACUAGUUGAACAACAAGCACAAUUUUAUUUUUUAAUACCUUCUGGUGGCCGUGGAAAUUGUAUGUUUGUAUUUCCAAUCACCUCAUAAAAUAUUCUUGUAUCAUGAGCACUACCUUCCCACCCAGCCCAAACAAAUGUAAAUUGCAUGUCAAAGCUACAUGCUGCCAUUAUAUUUUGCGUCGGUAUACCUUUUCUACCAAUAAAAGGUAUUUGAUUUUCUUGUGAAACACACGCACGUACAUGUGUUCCAUCAAUCGCUCCAAUGCAAUUCUACAUACACAAAAAUAUUUUUUCCGAAUCAAUUUAAUUGCACGUAAAUAUUUGAUUGUAACCUUUUGAAAUAUUUAACAACUUGUACUAAGUAUUGCUUACCUUGAAAUAGGGCAUGUAUCUGGGAUUCAUUUCAAUUUCCAAUGGUGUUGUCGUGAAUUCUGGAUCUAUUGGUCUGAUUAAAUCAGCUGCUAGCAAGCACACAAAACGAAGAACCUCGUUGAAAUUUCUAGAAACGGUUUCACCUGAAUGCUGAAAAUGCUCCUGCACUUCCCUAUUCGACGCACCGAGAGCUAAAGUGUAGAGAAACAUGCCUACUUUCUCAAUAACAUUCAUCCGUCUAGACGGUUUCAACCCGUACAUCGUUUCCAACUCAAAAGACAAACUCUUCAAUGUCUCAGCAUCCAUACAAAACAUGUUCACACAACGAAUCCAAUGCCCAUUUAAAAUUUCAAUCAACCAGCGCAUGCCAGUGUUGUAUGAAUCCAUACAUGGCUCUUUAUAAAUAUAUGUAUUGUAAUACAUCGCCAAUGCUCCAGCCAUGCAUAUGACUAAUUUAGUGCGAUCACACUCUCUAUGCCAAAAUAAAUCUCCAACGGCAUCGUCAUCCUAUUGAUUUAGGUCGUCGUGCUGAGCCUCACUAUUAUAGUUUACAUAACUAUCACCAAAACUACCUCCAAAACCACUUACAGAACUUGUACCAGCAAACCCAUCAGACACAUAUCGACCAACAUUAUUCAUAACAUUUUCAUAAUGCUCAUCAAAAAGCGCAUUAAACCAAUUCACGUCCAUAUCUACAAACAAAAUUUAAUAUCAAUUUCCAACCUGCAUAGUAUCGGUACAAAAUACAUGUUCAUUGAACGAUUUGUUUUUAAAUUUUCUGUCGUUAAUGCCGGUCUUAACACAUGCAAUAUUUUUCAACACAACAAUAAUUGUAAAUUUCAACCUGCAACGUUACGGUAACAUGAAAGUUUUGUCUAUGUAAUUUGUUUACAAUAUUUAAAACAGUAAUGGCGACAUUAACUUAUCCCACAACAUAUAUAUUAUAGGAAUCCCAGAUAAGGGAACGUAUUUAUAGCGUCAUUAACAUAAGAAAAAAAAUAUAUAAUUUGAAGCGACCCCUACGAAAAAAAAUACAAGGCUAAAAAAGCAGCCUAAAGACAAUAAUUGUUCAAAUCAUCUCAAACAUAACUAAUUAUCCUACAACUACAAAUACAAAGGCAGAAUCCAUACAUGUGAUAUGUUACAAGCUAAUAAACCUGGAAAAAACAGCAAAGGCAUAACUGUUUGCAUCAACCAUUAUACAAUUCUACAACCACAAUAAGACCUCAUGAUCCUCACCCUUUUGUGGACUGUUAACUGUGAAAAAAACAGGUAAAAUACAAUAUGUUAACAGCUCAUUGGAAUACAAAACAAACAUGAUAACUUUGCAAAACAUUAAAAAAACGUGAAAUAUGGAAAGCAUGCAAUAACUACCAAAACCUAUUAAACACAACAACAUUUAAUUGCUGCAACAUAUAACAAACAAUAAAAUACAUAAAUGUAAGUUUUCCAUAUAUCAAAUGAAAACUUACUUCAAGGUCGGAAGUUAGCCCUUCGCUCAAACAUUAAUUUCAGCCACUGAAAUUUUUGGUCCAUAUCACCAAUUGUUUCCCACAUUUCCCUCCUACUUCUAACCAUAAAAAACUCAGUUGCAAAGCAAUACAGCUCACUGCCGAACACCACUUCCUCAAUGGAGUGAAACUCCUUCAUCACCUCUUCUAUGCUACAUCCUUUUUUUUUUAUCCAAAACACUUGAUGUGCACUCACUCUUGGUAGAUACACUAUCCAUUAACUUAUCUAAUCGCAAAAACAAUUGUGAUCCCCUUCCGGCACCCCUUUUCUUUUUCUCAUUUUGUUGGGAACUUUGUUACACACCUUUUAUCUUCCCACUACUACCAGUGGGAUUGGGAUUGCUUGUGCUAUUGGCAAAAUUGACACUAGCCACCAUGUUAUUGACAUCGGCAAUGAAAUUUGAAAGACUCCCCUCCUCAGAAUCGCCACUACCUUCCUCAAGAUGAGGGUCUUCAUUAACUGCAUUAUUUUGCGUUUGACCACCACCAUCUUCAUCCAAAUUCAGACCCUGUGAUGGAGCCCAAGCAUCUUGAUCGGUAGCAACAGUGUUUGUAAACAUGAUAUCAUAUUUACAACACAAUGUUGGAUCAAUGCCAGCAUGCCUAAACUUUCUUGCCCCGUGUAUCUCCUACAACAAGGGAUAAAGAACAACAAAAUGCAUAAAAAAUUAUGUAAAAACAUGAAAGCAAACUGGUUAUAACAGCUCUAAACAUACUGAAAAAAGACAGACCUGGUUUUUAGCUUUCCACAAUUCAUCAGGAGCCAAAAUUGUUCCAAGUUCAGCACUCCAUCCUACUCCUGUUUUCGAAAGCAACCUUUUCCAGAUUCUCCAAUCUUUUUUAAUUUUGUCCCACUUAUUUUUUAAUUGUGCUUUCGUUAAUGUAUGGCGAGUUUGAUCCUUAAAGCAAUUGAUAACAUAUUUCCACCCAGCUUUGUUGAAAUGUGUGUUAGGUCGCAUACCUUGCUCAAUUGCUUUAAUACAUAUGUCACAAAAAGCGUGCAACAUCUCUCUACUCCAACAAACCUUAUCUUGUGAUUGAGAAUCGUCCAUGUUGUCGGUUAAAAUGUGUUGUCUAAUUAACAAAUAACAGGUUACUUUCCUAGAGGCGAUGUAAAGGACAUGGAAUGCACAAUCUAUCCUAAUUAAAUCGCAAGCUGAAAUAGAAACUGCAAAUUGAUAACAUAGACUUAACAUAAUCAGCUUAACACUUUCAUUGAUAGGUUUAUUUCCAUUAAAGUGUGUACAAGCCAAUGUAUUCAUUGCCUAAGCGUAAGAAGGCAUGCUAAAGAGACAAUGUCCAGCCUUCAGUGUAUAUAGCAAUAUUCAAGUACUGAUUUGCAUUGGAGUUUUGAAGGAAUUACUAAAAACAUGUUAAAAUGGAAUCCUCCUUCAGUUUUGAAAAAAGUUUCUAAUGUUAAACACAUCAGCUAGUUAAACUCAACUUUAGGCACUCAGAAAAACGCACAUAUUUGAACUCAACCUCAGGCCAUCAACAGAACCCCACAUGAGCAACAACACAAUACAUUUUAAAAAUAUUUAAAGAACCUGAACAAACACUAGAUGAUAGGGGGAUUACAAAUAUAGAAUAUAUAUGUACAUAUGUUAUACCAUGAAAGACAAAAAAGACAAGAGAGAUAGCUGAAUAAAUCACUCGUAGGUACCACUCUCUUUGACAUUAAAAAAACAGAGUAUAAUUAUAACACAUAAGAAGUUGUCCAAAUAAAAAGGAAAAGGAACACAAACACAGUAAUAGAGCAUCACAAACCGGAAGAAAAGCAGAUCAUGCAGCAACAACGCAGAAAAUGUAAUAUACAAUUGGCAUAACAAAGUAACAGAACAAUUCAACCGAAACAUACAUAAUCAAACACAACAAUAACAUAAAUUUUUAUUCUCAAACAUCACACAACAAAUGAAAAUUAAAGACUACAUUAAUUGUGCAACAGAAACAGAGCAACUGACCUUGAUUUUUCCUUUACAACCAAGACAGAGAUUGGUAAGAUGCUUAGCCUUCAACUUUCCAGGAGGAUGAUUUCGAUGGUGUAUUUGGUUCUGGCAAAGAAAACACACAGCAAACGAAAUUUUUGGUUAGAGAAAACAGUGUGUUUAGCAAAUAAGGCAUGAUCUAAACAAUUUUUCAGGUGAAGUGCGAAGAACAUUACCUGGUAACACGACUAAAAGAUUGAUGUUUUCUCCCAAGUGCAGGAGUGUCGAAGUAAUAUAUAACCCGGCAAGACCGGGGUCGAACCACAGAGAGGUUAAUUGUAUAAAUUAUAAACAACAACAACAACAACAACAAUAAUAAUACUCAGUAUGUGGCGUUGUUAUACUUGAGAAUGAUCUAAAAGAUCGGGUCACAGGUUUCCAGCCUAUAUACUGAAUUUAUGAAAAGAUCAAAGAGAUAUAUUAUAUCAUAUAAACAGAUUUUUGAUGUGAAUGAACAAGGCAAGACCAACAAUGUCAGGAUCCUUGAUCAAACAUAGAGCAUACUUAACGUACAUAGAAUAUAACAAGAAUGUAAAUAAUAAUAAUAAUAAUAAUAAUAAUUAUAAUAAUAAAAAGAAGAAGAGGAAGAAAUUAAUGAGAACUUUGAGAUGGAAGAUUACUGUAAAGAUUAAACAAUGAUAAAAACAAAUGUCAAGGUUAAAGGAUCCACUAAUGGUAUUUCAAACAAGUAUAGUAUAAACUCUUAUUACUCAACUGGAAACCACACACAAAGGAGGUUUCAAUCGGCUGAUUUCUUAUUAAUAGCUCAUUAUAAAUUGUUAACAUGAUCAUAUUAAUGAUCUUAUUUACGUAACACCAAACUUUUAAAUAUUGUUAGGAAUUCAUGAUGCUAACUUAUGUUGACAACAAAUCAAGUUCCUUUCAUAGCACAGGUGUAGGUAAUACCAUACGGUUGGGCUAUGAGAGUGCCAAGCAUUUGUUGUACCAAGUGUUAUACAACACAAAUCUAGAUUAACCAUUUAACAAGCAAGGUAUUAAGAAUUAGUAAGAUAAAAAGAUAAGACAUGUUAAUAUUAAACAUUAAGGUCCAUGUUGAGUUGUAGGAAAUUGACUCAUAUUUCCAGGAAAAAAAAUGGAGGUCAUUUGGACUUCUAGAACUCCAGAUAUGGGCUGAACACUAAACAGUGUCUGGGCUACAGGACAAAUUCGGACUUCUUUGUUAUUGCUAUAAUUUGAACUUGAAAAUGGCCUUCUUAGAUCUUGGCCUCCACAUGAAAGUUGUAGGCCUAUGUCUUACUGAAUCUGUGUAAAAAUUUGAGAUCAUUUGGACAUCUAGAACUCGAGAUAUGACUCAAUUACCGAAUAGUAUUCCAGUUUGGACUGCACCAACAUCUCUUUUCUAAGUUUGGCCCUCUCUUUGUCCUUUCAAUUUCCAUACUUGAUCUCAUAAAUCAAUCCUUUGAUUUAUGUGAUAGGCCUGCAUUUAAGAUGAACAUUUAUUAUAUAUUAAGGCAUUUUAUAGUAUUAGACUUGUUAUUAUAAAACAUGCUUUAGUUAAGGAGUUAUUGAUACUUUAAGUGCAAAAUGAUGAUAUAAAAACUUGAUAAAUAUGCACUUUUAAGUACUAAUCACCCCCCCAACCAGUUUAUCACUAGUCCCUAGUAAUCAAAGCAUUAAAAUAGAAAAACAAUUUGCAAAUUCCAUAAAGCAAGGCAUUCAUCAUUCAACUUCCAUUAAUCUAUCCAAAUAAACAAACUCUCAUUAUAUGCAUAUAUCUACUCAAUACCUCUUAAACAAGAUAUUACUAAUCCUUUCUUUUGUGCUCAAAAUAUCAAUAUAUAGUUAUGGGGCUUUACUUGGAAGAAAAACAAAUUUUUGCUCUAAUUUUUAAGGUUAACUUCCUUGGGUUAGGAUUGUCGCACGUCGAAAAAUCCCGUGCGCGGCAUCGGCUGGCGAUUAUCGUCUCGUUGUUUGUAUUGCUUGAAUUGGUUCAUUAGGAGUCGCCACCUAGUAUUUAAUUAAGGUUACUAGGAAACCUGGUAGACUGGUCAUGGUCAGAGAUUCGCGGGUAAGGAACUGAUUGUGGUUAGAGAAGAUAUUAACACCCCUAACACACCCUACCUGAGGUAAGCUGCUCCGUGGACUUGAUAUGUUAAAGAAGUUUUAACAAUUUUAUCUUUUCGUCGGAUUUUAGAAAUACAACUUCCGUACAAGUUUGUACUUCUACACUGUGAUCCAAUCAAAAUAUUAAAUCCUUUUUUAUUCUUUGCCGUCUUAUCAUAAAAAUUCACAAACAAAUACAUACACCACAUUCAAGCUUCGUGAGCUUGAGGUCAUUUUUAAAAUAAAAUUUUAGCCCACUUCUAAAGCUUCGAUACAUCAGUUAUUAAUUCCCAGAAUAUAUGUAAAAACAUGUUCUUACAUAUUCAUGGAAAAUACAACAUGAUUUUAUCCAUCCUUAGAAUUUGUGCAUUAAAAUAUUAAAAACAUUUUUCUUUUUGUCCUUUUUUAUUUUUUAUAAUUCAAUAACAUAAAAUAAAAUAAAACACACCAACACACACACUCUUUUUUAUUAUUAUUUUCUUUUCUUUUCUUUUCUUCUUUUACAUUCACAUUUACACAAAAUACAAAUUUAAAACAAAUAAACAAAAAUUACAAUAAGGGCUUCAAAACCAUCUGAAACUACAUGAAUGCCCCUUUGCAAGCUGAAACAGUGUUGGGAAACAGUGGCGGCACGUCACUGGCGGCGAGUGGGUUCACGCGCCGCCGUCAAAAAACCAGCAGCAAAGGGGGGUCUGAAAACGUGUUCCUCCCCUCUUCAAUCUCCUGCUGCCCGUCACCUGCAAAACAAACCCAACACACAUCAGCAGUUGAUUUUAGUCCUUGUUUUAGAUCUAAUUUUGAAUUUUUUCUUCUGCCCGUUUCGGGUCUGUUCGAUUUCUGGUGAGGAUGGCCUUCAACCCUGUUGGUGGCGGCUGGGUUUCAUCUUCUUCUCCUCUACCUCCAGUGUCAGAUCGGAUUUUUGUUUCCUUUCUCUUCUCUGUCGUGGACGGGUCUGCUGUAGAGGAGAUGAGAGGAGCUGUUCAGUUUCUUUGGAGAAGAAGGCAGUUGUGGCGCCGGUGGGGGACGGCUCUGGAAGGACUGUUGUUGGCCGGUGGAGAUGAGGCUAUUAUGUGGCACUGCGCUGCUCAUGGUCGAUUGCCCUGACCGCUGCUGCCGGAGAGGGGCGGCGGGUCUGCCACCGGUUGAAGGAGAUGAUGACAGUGUUGCCCCGGCGUUGGAUCUGUUCGGUCGUCGCUACUGUGGAAGGAAACCGAAGGAGAAGCAGCCGUGGCUGAGGAGGAGAUCGUGAAGGCCGACGUGCAGGGGAGAUGAAGGAAGGAAUGGGUUCGGUUUCAAGCAGGGAAGAUGAAGGAAGAAACGGCCUGAGGAGGAACCGGCUGGAUUUUUUUGAAGGAGAAGGCUGCGGCUACAGUCUUGGAAAAAUGGGGAGAAGGGAGUAGAUUCCCAUGGCUGAGAGGGGUUCUCUUGGUUAUAAGGAAGUAGUGAAAACCGGCUGUAGAGGAGGUUGGUUUGGCUGCAAGAGGCAGAUGACGGGGAGAUGGGGAACUCAAUCGAAGGAGGGAGCUAGCUGGCUGGCUUUGGUUAAAGGUCGGGGGCCAGUUUUUUUCGGUUUGUUUUGGGGCUGAAGGGAUGCGAAAACUUUGGCUGGCAAGAGGGGAAAAAUGGCUGGAUGGAGACGAGGGAGUCCGGCUGGUUUUGGGUCAGGAAAAUCAAACCCCGGGGAAGCAGCUCAAGGAGCCAAAAAAUGGAGACCAGCAGGGGGGCGGCUGGCGUGAAAGGCAGAGUUUUUUUAGGGUUAGGUUUCUGCAUUUUUUCUUUUGAAAGUGUCAAAAUUACCCCCCUACAAAAUAAACCCCCCUUAGCUUUAAGUUGAAAGCUGCUAUUUAUAGGCAAAUUAUUUUUUCGGGCUUCCAAAUUGGUCCCUCAAUUUUUGUGUUCAAUUCACUUGGUAAAAAUUAAAUUUGGUCUUAAAAUUUCAAUCUUUUCAAUUCAGUCCAAAUUAAGCUCCCAAACUUAAUUUUUCACCAAUUAAGCCCCCAAAUUAAUUUGACCCAUUUAAAGUAUAAUUAAGUCCUUGCACUUAAUUAAAUCCUUCAAUUGGACCUAAAUUAAUUCUUAAACAUAAUUAAAAUUUAAUUUGGCCCAUGAUUAAAUCAAAUUGGCCCAUUAAAAAUUUAAUUAUGUCAUUGGACUUAAUUUUUAUGCAAAUUCAUCCAAUAAUCAUUUAAUUUGACCUUCGAAUUUGCAUUUAAUUUGACCUUCGAUUUUUGCCUAUUUUUGCAGUCUUUUUUUAUCGGCUUUCUCCACAGUGCCAGCCUUUAUUUUAUUUUUUGAUUUUUUAUUUUAAAAAAAGUGAAUUUUGGGAAUAACCCAAAAUUGGGUUAUGACAAGGAUUAUUAUCUUUAUAUAUAUAUAUAUAUAUAUAUAUAUAUAUAUACAUACAUACAUAUAACUUAAAACACAAUGCAUCUUUAACCCAUGUAAUGAGUUUUCGGCUAAUGACUCCUAGACCAGUUGGUCUUAGGGCAUUAGGUGUUGAGACACCCCUACGAGCUUAGUAACUCGAGUUGUAGAUACUGAUACGUAGAUAGUGCAAUGUUUGAUUUCCUUAAGCUUUUCUCCUCAACCCAUGUAACAAGCGUUGUGUCAAUAGCUCCCAAAUCAGUUGACUUUAGGGUAUUAAGUGUUAAAACACCCCUUCAGGCUUAAUUGCUUAGGUUAGGGAGGCUAUGAAACCAAAUUUAUCUACCUUUUUAUUAUCAUUAUUUUUUUGUUUUUCUUUUUUUUUUGUUUUUUUUUGUUUUUUUGCAAAUUAUGUACUAUCCAUUUCCCUUAGUUGUUACCUUUAACAAAAGAGCAUAAAUAAUGUAAUAAUCCAAUGUGCAACCCACAAUUAUAUGUUAAAGUGUGUGUGUGAAAAUGAAGAUUUAAGAAUACUUGUUAAAUGAGCAUAUGAGCAGAAUCAAGUGCUAACAAUACGAGAGUUUGGUAUUAUUGUACCUGUUGUGAUUGUGGUUUGAAAAAAAAAAUUAUAUAAAGUACGAUUUAUUUUAUAAUGUAAUACCAAUAGUUAAAUCCACAAUAUUUAAAUUAAAAAUAAUCAAUAUUAAUAUAUAUUUUUUAAAAUUAUUUUAUAACCUCAAUUUUAAAAGCUUUCUUAACCAAAUACAUUACUGACAAAAUGAAUGGUGGAAUUGUCAGGAAUCGUAGUCAAGCUGAUAAAAUUACUGACAAGAGAUAUGUGCAGAAAAACGGAUUGCAAGAAGAAGUGAUCAUCAGGCUUUUCUUGAAAGGGGCUAUGGUGAGGAUUUUGAAGUGGAAAGGGCUGCCUUCAAAAGCUUUGAGCAAUCCAAUGAUGUUAUUGGCAAGACAAAAGUUCCGAUGUGGAAAAUAGAGGAGAAGAUUCAGAAGCUAGGAAACUGGUGUGUAAUCUAUACUCUUUUAUAUCCUCUCUUUUUUUCUUCAUAAGCUCAAUUGAACUUAACUAUCCUUUCAUUACAACUAACAAGAUUUUAUUGGCAUGUGUGUGCAAAUUCCGUGUAGCUAAGCUAUUUUGUAUUUUGAUCUAUGCUGUGUAAUUGUACCAGUCUUCAUGUAACAGAGCAAAGCAAUCUGAUUCAUGUCAAAAGAAGCAUUUCCAAUACAAUGUGUCCGUCCCGGUUUAUUUUUCCAGCUUUGUGUACUGAUACCUGAUAGAUUUUUGAAUUCAUUGGACUCUUAUUUGCCACUGUAACAAGUGGUCCAGAGAUUAAUGUGCCCCUUCUCCUCACUCCAUGUUUAGAUUACAGUCACACCAAGCAGUUUUGUUGUGGUGGGACAGCCUUAGCCUUGGGGGGCAAGGGGUUUCACUGGUUUCUUACCUGGUUUGUUCUUUCCAAAAAGCAGGACAGUUCAUAUAAAGGUAAACAAAUUAUGGAGUAACAAGUUGUUAGGACAUCAAUGAAGGGAAUAGCUGUAUGGACUUGUUAUGGAGGUAAUAGCUGUUUUUACUAUCCACGGUUCUUAUCAAUAUUUCACAUCAGCAGAACCUGUAUCUUAGAUUCUUAGCAAUACCUUGUUGUAUGAGUUUAUCAUUGUUCUGAUAAACAGCUAGUCAUGUUUGCUGACUUGCUACUAUGAUUAUCACUCCAUAUUUCAACUUUCAUAGAGCUGUUCAUAGAACUAGACUUCUAAUCUAAGCAUAUGGACUUAAUUUUUCUGAGUAAAAGUACAUCAUGAACUGUUAGUUCAAAUCCUACCACCAACCUCUUUGGUGUCGUCCAGAGAUUCAUCUCACCUGUUGCGUGGUGCAUGAUGGCUGAGAGGUUUGAACGUACCCCAGGUUUUACCCAGUGCUAAAUAAAAGGUUUAAUUCAGAAAAAAGACUUUUGAUUUUUGCAGUAUGAAGUUAGUAACCUAACCUAGGUACAUCAGUUUGGUUGAAUAGGGUGUCAUAUGAACUUGCUGUACAAUAUUAAUUCUCUGGUUGGGCUUUCCGUUUCUCAUAUUCAAUUUUAUGGUUCAUAUUCAAAUGACUGCGCCUUGAUACUUCACAAUCAAGAUAAUUCCAAGGGUUGUUUGAUCUUGAUUCACUCUCAUGUGUUCAUGUGGUAGUUUCUACUAUUUGUUAAUGUUGGAUUCCAAUGUUAGUUUUCAGUAGUAAGAGGGGGUACCAUUUCAUAGCAUCAUGAAGUGAUAAUUUCCCAUCAUUUUUGGCUCUUUAAGAUAGGUGCUCAAUCUAGCAUCUUUUAGGGUGGUUUUGGUGUUAAAUAUCAUUGUCAAAGCAUAGGAGCAUGAGCUAUCCUUUUGACCUGCAUACCAUCAAGAAAAAUGUUUCCUAUGAAAAGCCUUGUUGUAUUAUAAAGUGGACUUAUGGAACUGGUAACAGUUUGCUAGAUAUUCUCAUUUUCUUGAAUAUACAUCUUAGUUUUUUUAAUAACCAGGAAAUGAUAAAAUGGUUUUCUGCCUCGUACUUGAGCAAGUCAUGCUUGCUUGUGGCAAGUACAACUUGGUUCAUGAGUUCUUCAAAAAAGUUCAGAAGUCUUCCAUUCCAAAUGCCUUAGUAUAUAAAGGUGCUUGACUGGUCUAUCAUUUCUUCCAUUUGAUUUUAUAGAACCUCAUUUUGAAAUCAAAUUCUUGUUACAUACAGUUCUCGUCAAUACUUUUUGGAGAGAGGGUAAGACAGAAGAGGCUGUGUUGGCUGUCAAAGACAUGGAAAGACGCUGUCUUUGUACAUCUGGAAGGUGUCAAGAAGCACUAGAUCUGGUAAUCUUUUUAUGCUUAGUCUACUAUCUUUUUAAAACUGAAUAUAAAGAACACUGUAUUGUAGCUAAACGAUCAAAACGCUAUCUUUUUAUGCAUUGAAUGGUGUGUUUCUAAUUAGAGUUUAUGAGCACGGGGAGCUAUAUCACUGCAAAAGGCAAAAAUCUGUGUAUUGAUAACUGUUGCCUGCCCAGUUAAGGUUUUGCAAGUGCGUCUUUGGGCCCUUUCCUAACUGCUGGGAUGUCUCUUUGGGCAUUUAAUAGUUUGCAAGCUUUAAAGCUAUAUAUUUUGUACACUCAUUGAUGCUUUUGUAAAACUCCAUGUAUAUAAACAAGUAGAUUGCAACCGGUUUGGUGUCACUUCGACCACCUACAAUUUGUGUGCUUAUUAUUACCACUAGCUUUUCUUUGAACAAACAGUCCAUCACAACCUCCUUUCAUUUCACAGAUUGAGAAAAUAUGCAAGGUUGCUAAUAAGCCGCUUGUAGUAACUUACACUGGCUUAAUCCAAGCUUGUCUGGACUCUGGAAACAUUCAAAACGCUGUGUACAUCUUCAAUCAAAUGAGGAACUUUUGCCCCCCAAAUCUUGUUACUUGCAACAUAAUGCUGAUAGCGUAUCUAGAACAUGGAUUGUUUGAAGAAGCAAACGAGCUUUUUAAGAAAUAAACCAUUCUUAAAAGAAUGAAGUCUAAUUAUUGUUUUCAUUAAUUUGAAUACUUUAAUUGGUUCUCUCUCCUCAGUAUAUAUAGAUUGAUGGGAUAUGAGAAAUCUUGGGCCACUCAGAGCCAUUUUCCUUUCUACAAUUUUCUUUAAGAUGUGGACAUUUCCAAAUAUCCAAUGUCUUUAAUUUGGAGAGGCGUUGAAUGGCUGUUGAACUCGGCAUAUACUUGAGAUUCUUGCAAUCAUAAAUCCGAAGAUAUUGAAGAGAAGAAAGGUUGGCCAUCCAUUCUGGCAAUGCUUCCUCAAACUCCUCUCCAUCAAAAUCCAUUAUCGCCAAUGUCUCGAGGGCAGUGAGGUGUUGAAGUUGGUGUGGUACACUCUUCAGUUUAUCCCAUCCAUGUAUCCUUAGGGAUUUGAGGGACCCACUCAAGUUGAGGUGUUGGAUUGAGUUUAAAACUCCUACAGGAAAAGCCUCCAUCUCCUCUGAGAAACCACCGAU
rnacentral:lncRNA from 1 species